rnacentral:lncRNA from 1 species
CUAAAAAUAAUUGCAUAAAGUAAAAGAAAUAAUACAGAUAUUGUAUCAUGAUACAUGACAAUAUGUUUUGACAAAAAAAAUAAUUGAUAUAGUAUAAUCAUGCGCAAAUCACAUGAAGUGUUACUUGUACAACAAAAUUGGUAUAAAAUUUACAAUUACACGAAAACUAUACAAGUUAUAUCAAGUAUAUUAAGAAUUACAUGAUCCGUAUGAACCGGACAGAAUUCAACUUGUGAGAGUUGGAUCCAUGGUGAUUUAGCUUGCUAGUAAAGCAAUAUGUCCGCAGGAGUCGAAAGCUAUGUCUCUUUUACUGUUAUUCUGCAGAAAGGCUUAGGUAGCAAGCUUAUAAUCUUCCUCUAUCAGCUCCUUCACCAAUGGUUGCUUGAGCAAACUGCGGUCCAGCUUAGGACAUGAGUGCAAUGUUACAGAUUCAAGUUGGCAGUCUCUCGAUGGGAGUGGAUCCUCCAAACUUCUUUCCCCUUCAUAUAGAAGCCUAAACAGUUGAGGCAAAUAGUAAAGCUUUAUUUUUCUCAAACGCGGAAGGGCAGAGAAAUCAUCAUUAUCCAUCUCAUCACUCCUUUCUAUUAUCUCCUUUAGAGACUCACAAUCCUCAACUAUUAACUCCUCUAAAUUACAAAAGCAUUGAUUGAGUUGCCAGUUUUUUGAGAAAAGUUUUUUGAAGUGCUUUCGACACAUUUUCUUAAUUAUCUUGUCACUUUACAUAUAUCAUAUUGCUAUAGAUUUUUUUUUAAACUAAAAAGAACUUUUAAAUACUCCCAUCCAAAUGGACUUUAUGCAGUUGAGCACGAGUAGGCAUCUAUAACUUGCCAAAUAACGCCUUUAUGAGGUAAAAGUUUGUGCGCGUCAAAAUGUUGAAAUUAUAAAUUCACGUUCAACCAGCUGAAUAUGAAAGCAAAUGCAUCAUAAUGAAUGAUUCGAAAUUGGGGCUCUGGAGAGGUGAGCAAUGAGGUCACACACUCUGGUUCAUGCUAAUUAAAGUUAACAAUGACGAAUCACUGAGAUUAUUUUAGUGGUCUGGGAGGAGCUAUUAGAGUUCUCUUUGCUAUCAGAUUUAGAAUUUGAAUCCUGAAUAUAAUAGUUGAAAGUGGAAAGAUUGUGGAAAGGAUGGGAGAUUUAAAAAAACAAUUAUAUAUAACAAAGGUGCAGAUAAAGGCUAUCGUUGCUUGAAAAUGUGCAUAAUACAGGGUCAAUCACAUGCUUGUCUGCAAGGAACACAUUUUAGCCGUCUUUUCUUCUCAUUUUUCCACAAGUGCAAAGUUCACGCCUUUGAAAUUUAGGAACGAAGGCGCACCUUCCAACAAAGCCUUGAUGGUACUUUGAAGGUUCGGCUUUUUGGCAAAUGGCAAUAAGGCAAUUUGAAGGCAGCAAACAACAAAGUUCGGCAAUUUUUUAACUUCUCCCUCCGUCCUACUUUAGUUAUUUUUUAAUUUUUUUAAAAUACCCUUAUUUAAUACUCCUUCCGUCCCAUUGUUAAUGUCAUAUUUUCACUUUUUGCUUGUCCCAAAAUUUGAGUCACUUUGAAAAAGUCAAAUCACUUUUACAAUUAUUUUCCAGUUAUACCCUUCUAUUGAUAAGUCAAGAUUGCACUAACCAAUUCUGAUGGACCCAGCCACAACACAUCAUCGGAAGUUAUACCCUUCUGAUUGUCUUUGCCUUUUAGUCAAAGUGACUUAAUGGCAAGUGGUCCCACUAAUUUGUUGUUUCACUCCGCAAACAGCAAAGGGUACGCUUGGAAGAGUCAGAUAAGUCUGUCCGUAAUGCUACUGUACAUAAAAAGUGCGUUUCCCAAAAAGCGUCCCAAAUUUUGGGACGGAGGGAGUAUAAAUUAUCAUUAGUAUAAACUAAUUUAUUUAAUAUAGAUUGUUAUUAAAUAUAACCUACUCCGUUUAAUACAUUUAAAUUUUUCAAAACACAUUGAUAUAUGAAUAUGCAUUGAUUCUUUCUUAACCAUCAGUUCAAGUUUUCAUAAACCGUCAAUUCAAGUUUUUAUAAAUAAUUAAUAUAAGGUUAUACUCUAUCUAAUAUAAGGGUGUUUUAGAAAAUUAGUAACCUAUAUUUAUUUUUCCAACAAAAUUAACUAUUUUUUCUUAAACUGUGUGAAAAAAAAUAGAACUAUCAAAAUGAAACGGAGGAAAUAAUAUAACCUGUUUUUUUUCUUUUUCUUUUUUUUAUUUUUGGCGAGUACAAAGCACUUUUGCCUUGCGAGCUGGCAACCGUGCUACUGGUCGCUCAUAUUUACAUGGACCAUUGGUAAUUCACUUGUGAACGUCCAUCCUUAGGAACUUCACUUUGUUUUCUCCUCGUACUUGAAAACAUACUAAACCCAAUUCAGAUAGAUAUGAGGAAUGGAUUUCCUAAUGGGAUUUCACAGUGGAAAAAAAAAAAAAAAAAAAAAAAAACUUGGAGCAGAGUGCAAUGCUACCAAACAGAUAACUACUACAAAAUGCUUAUCACAAUUAUGCUGAAAAUUUGCCUAGCCUUCAAUCCGGUUUCUUUAAGUUCAAGCAGUUGUCUGUUGCUUGCCUGAACAACUCCUGCACCUGCUUUAAUCCCUUAUCCGCAGCUUCCAGUUGUUUUUGUAGUUCUUGGCCUACCGCAUCAUUUUCAGCCUGAAGUUCUGCAAUUCUUUUCAGCUGAGCUUCUUCACCUCCCUCAGCUAAUGGAAGGGCAGCUACCAACAGAUCAAACUGCUUGGCAGCGUUGACAAGUGCAGCACUCAUGAGCUUUGGUUGCUCAGCAAGAUUAGCAGCAUCCUCUGCAGCACUAGAUGGAUUAGCAGGAGGUUCCGGAUAAUUAGGAGACAACCUAACUGGAGAGCAUCCCUUUGAAGCGUCCAAAGGUGUUGAAGGCAAGACCUGCAAUUGUAUUCACCUGUUCUUGCAGUUGAGUUAUUAUAUCCAUCUUGAAUUUUGAUACCUGCAAUUCUGGGCAACUUUGAAUUCAAGUAGCAUUUCUCAAUUUCUGUACAUCUUCGUUUUGAAUUCGAGCGACUAGGUAUUUCCUUGUUCAUCACAUUAACAACUCAGAGUAACAGACAAAGAGAGAGGUCACACAGCACUCAUGAUCGACAGCUGAAAGAAAGAAUCAGAGGCAUUCUCAUCACUCAUAAGCAUAUUUGAAGCAAUACAAGUGAAAAAAAGAAAAGAAAAAUAGACAUAUAUGGCUUGGCACAAAUAGUCAGUCAAUCAGUUUGAACACACUCAAUCAGGCCUUCCUUCCUGUGCUUGACAUCAGACAGAUCCUCUAGAACAUGACUUAACAGAUGGUAGAUGCUGUUAAAACUUUUUCAUACGUAGACAAAACUACCCUCAACUAAAACAAAAGGUUUAGCACCUCAAAAAAUAAAUAAAGACCAAGAAGCUCUAGAGAAAGUCCAAACAAACGACCUGUCAACCCCUUGUCUUCCUCCUCCAAAUCUCCCUAUUUGACAACUCCAUCAACACAAGGAGAAACCAUGUCUAUUUUUCAUACACGUAUCAUGAGAUACAAUGUAAAAGUGUAUGCUAAGUAGACACAAAUCAUUAAUAGCAAUCCUAUGCAUCCAAAUACCUCAAUCCUAUGCUAAGUAAAUAGUUCUGGAUGCCUGAACUAUUUACUUCUAGACUUAUUUUCCACAGCAAAGAUAUAAAAAGGCUAAACAUCUAGAAGACAUAAUCUACACUUGUCUAUACUACAUGAAACAAUACUUACUCUCCUUCAUUACAAGUAUAUCAAUCAAUUCAUCAUUAAAAAGAAUUAUCAUUUCCUUUUAUUUUCAAGAUCCACUUUUACCUCAGCUGGCAAGAGAAUACAUUACAAACUUGCACCUCACGAUACUCAUUGAAGCAUUUAUAUCAGCUGAAUUAUGCAUUAAUUCUAGGUAACAUUCAACAAAACUUAUGAAUGAGUAUGCAACCACACCUAGAGAUGUGAUGACAUUUGAAUCAGGAAAAAAAGAAACAAAUUCUGACCUUCAUCAUUCUUCAUAGAAUAAUAUUUCUUUACAUGUUCCAAACAUAUUUUAACAGAAAGACCAGUACCCAUCUGAAUGAGGAUAACUAACUCCAAACAUAAUAGUUGUGCUUUUGACUAUAUGGAAGCCUUGUUAAGAAGAUAGACAACAGCUAGAACCUUAAUAUGGUGUCAAUCAUAAUUAAACACCACAACUCCACAUAUGCCCAUUUCUCUAUUAUUCUUCAAUGGUGGCCCCACAACAAGAAAGUUUUUGGAUUUCCCUUCUAACAAACAACCAUUCGAGGUAAAUUAGAUUUAGAUAACUGACAAUGGAGAAGCUUAUGCUGGAUUAAGUGUCCAUAACACAUGACCACUCACAGCAAAAAAAAAUGCAAUUGCAAUGGUGAAUUUAGAUGAAUCCUUUGCAUUACUUGUAAAAAGGCAACUUCCAAAGUUGGAAUGUAGAUGACAUUCGUCGAGGAUGUUUCCGAUACAGAAAAGAGCAAAAUGGUUGAAUCCUACAUGUAACUAUAGUAUGCUACCAGCAACCUAAGAAGAAUCUCUCUCCAUAAUACCAAGGUCAAAAUGAACACCCCUCAACCAAAAACCAUACAUAGCAUGACUAUUUCUGGCAAUGUCUCAGUAAACUAGUUCAAUUAUCUUUCUCAUUAACUUCCUCUUGUCUUACUUUUAGCCCUUCAAUCCAUAUUGGAUCCACAGAGACAAGAAUAUCAAUGUUCCAUAUCAGCAAGCAAACAGUUAUAUAAAUCUCUGUAUAACGACAAAGCACACCCAAACUUUUUUCUUACACUAUUUUAUACAGCAUCAUUUUCUCCUGACUUAGAAUUGAGUCAUAAAUAGUGUGAACCUUACAGAUGUCUAAUAGUCUGACCAGUCGUCCUUUUUUCCGAUCUAAAGGAAAACCAAUCAUUCAUUUCCUUUUGGUUUUCUACUUUUUCCCUUUGGUUCUUUUAUGUCUUCUUUUCAUUUUGGGUAGGAGGAGGGUGGAGGCCUGUCUGUGAUAUUCCUUUAAGGAGCAAGUCGACCAAAAGAUAACAAGAAAAUCUCAAAUUGAUUAAGCAACAUGUUUCACUAGCCAUUAAAUGCUCUAUGACAAGCAUAUUCAGAAUCUGCUUUAAAUCUAAACUUGUGCAGUCACAAUUAAAUGGAUACCCCGACAUCUAGGAUAAAUGAUAAUAGGAGGUUAAUGCCAAAAGGCCCAAAUUUAACAAUUCAUUGACAACAAAUUAACACAGAUGCAUUCAUUGGGGCAAACUAACCAAGGAAUACAAGUAUUUACCUCAGUUUUAUACUUAGCUAUUGGCUGUACCAGAGGGCACGACUAAUCUAGGCUCCAACACUUUGAAUUUCUUAAACACAUUUUGCUGCAGAAGACAAAAUUUACACCAUAUAGAAAUGAACAUUCGAAAAGAAUUUGAAUCAUAUAUAAUUCCCAUAAAAAUAGAAUAAUAAACCAAGUGUCAUGUUCUCAAACACAUACGAAACAGAUGUGCAUGCCACAGUUUUCAAAGUAAAAAGACAAUGACAACUUUUCAAAAACCUGCAGCUAUAAAUCACGGAACAAUCACAGCUACACUUAUACGAGGUAGGCAUAAAUAGUGGCUCAACGCCCACAAACAUCUAGCGUCUUUUUAAGAAAAGAAAAAGGCAAGCACAAGCAGCAUAUGAUUGAGUGCACAAUGUAACUAAAAGAAGCAACCCUCAGAAAUUUAAUUGGUCAAAAAACAACUUUCCAAAUCCUGACUGGUCUAUGUGAAUUGUCCAGACAGCAAGGGAAGGCAUUACAAAAAUUGAUAACACCUACAAUAACAAAUGACCCCAUAGAGUUGACCUUUCGAACCGCUUCAAACCAUGACAUAUAAAUAGCCAAUCUUGGGGUCCAGCACAAAAACCCAAUACAAACUCAUCAGCAAUCCACAAAUCCUUCAAGAACACAAGAAAAACACCGCUCCAUCUUUCAGAAUCACCCAAAAAACAUGCAGUCACGUGUGUGCCCAUCCAUAGAAAAAAGUACUACUACAGCAAGCACAAAACCCUACUCCAAAAUCAUCCACAACAUUCAAAUCCCUUCAUAACACCAUUCAUCUCCUUCAAUAAUCACCAAGAAAAGUGUAUGCACCCAUGCACAGAAAAAAGUACUAUAAAAGCCAUCAGAAAAACUCUACCCGGAAUAAUCCAUGACAUUCAAAUCCCUUCACACAACACCAUUUUAUCUCCAUCCCAAAUCACCAAAAAUGCCUGUGCACACUUAUGGGGGAAAAAGAACUCCUACAGCUAACACAAAACCGUUCUCCAGAAUCAAUCACAACAUCCAAAAUCCCUUCAAACGGAGGGGGUAAAAAGACAACUCGCCGCUUCCAAAAUCGGAAGACAGAUAAUUUGACCCCCCCCCCCCAACAAAAAAAAAAAAAAAAAAACAGCAUUUAAGGGAAAAAAUACCAAAAAAUCCACAAUUAUCCAGCUGGGAAAGAAAGAAAAUUGAACAUCAGUUCUCAUUCAUUACCAAAAAGAUUCCGUCAAAUGAGAACUUAAAACAAUACAGAAAGGCAUGCAUACCCAAAAUGCAGAUAAACAACCAGUUUUUUUUGGAGCAAACUAAUCAGUUUAUGCAGAUAAAAUUCUAACCUUAGUAAACAACAUCACAACUCUGAUUUAAAAAAAAUUGAACGCAUCUCGAUCACAAUCACAUUGAUGAAUCAAAGGAAAAAAAACCAUGAACCAAAUAGCAUAAAAAGAACAAAAAAAAUCAAGCCAAAACACAUCCAUACGCAUGUUCAGGUGGUGAGCUUUAGCCUAUACACGGAUUAAAACAAUAAAUCAAAAGCAAGAAUUAAAAGCCAAAAAAAAAAGAGAAAAAGUGAAGAAACCUUACAGUGAAGAGGACGAGAGAAUUCUUGAAAGAAAAUAUGUGUCUGGAGUCUGGACGGGCUUUUGGUUGCUGCCUCGGGGAGUGCAAGAAAGGACAGGAGGGAAGAGAAGAGAACAGGAGAAAGAUUAAAAAAAAGAAAAAAGAAAAAAAAAGAUUUGGAUUGUGGAUUUUAAGUUGAGUUAAUUGCAUUUUGCCCUCCUCAAUUAUGCCUAGACUGAAGUUUGUACCCCAAACGUUUAAUUUUUGCAAUUAACUAUCUCUAACUCUUGAUUUGCCGCAUGAUUUAAAAUGAAGCUAAAUCCGAUGGGAUAAAGAGCGACACGACGAUUUGCCCUUAAAAUCUUACUAAAAUGCCCAAAGUAUCCCAGAAAAAAGCAAUUUUCUAGGAAACCUUUUCUCUCAUUUUCUUAAGCGAACUCAAGAAUGCGUAAAGAAAUCUAAUCCUCGAACAACCUUCAAAAGCCUUUUCUCUCAUUUUCUAGGAAACCUUUUCACUUUCCCCUUUCCUUUGAUUUUCGUCUGCCACAAUAGGACAAAUAAGAAAAAGGAAAAAUGUCCAAUUUCGUCCCUAAAUUUUGGUGUCAAUUUAGUUCUUAACUUUCAUUUCUGACUAAUUUGAUAUUUGAACUUAUUUUGCAAUUUCAAUUAAGGACCCCAAUGGUACUACUAUUUAAAACCGAUAUGACUUCUAAUUGAUUAACUAAAAUAGAGGUAUUAUAGAAAUGCCACUCGGACAUUAUAAUGAAACAAGCAAAUCAAACUUCUAAAUCGUAUAAAAAAUUAUCAGAUAAAACUUCUUUGAAGUUUAAUCUUGUGAUUUUUUUAAUACGUUGAUUUAUUACAGUCCCGUGAGUGAUGUUCUCAAAAUUUCCCUAUUUUAUUAGUUAAUUAGAAGUCAGAUCUGUAUUAAAUGGUAGCGUCGCUACAAAAGUCCUCAGUUGAAACUGCAAAAUAAGUUCACAUAUUAAAUUGGUUAGGAAUAAAAAGUUAGAAACUAAAUCUACACUAGUGAAAAGGUUUAGGAAUGAAAUUGGUCAUUUUUUUAAAAAAAAACCACCACAACAAUAAUCCCCGUCUUACCAAUCGAAAUUAACACUUCUCACAUCAAUGAAUUUUGUCGAACAGUUCUGACCUUACAUACUCUGCUGCAACUUCUUAACCCAUGGUUUAUGGGACUCUUAUCUAUGGUGACAUCUGGCCAUGCGGGUUGGAGUGCAACUGCAAGAACAGGAAGACAGGAAAGCCUAGAAGGUAUAGGAUUCAUGGUGAAUCCUCUUAACUGUUAAUUUGAGUUAAUAGUGUUUGGAAGUUUGAAAACUCAAUAAUCAACGUCCUUUCAUUUGAGAUCCUUUCUCAAUUAAAAGUCCAUCAGUCCAAGUCCACACAGAGGUUUUCAUUCCGGGGUUCCAUUUGCAAAGGUGAAUAUCAAGAUAAGACUCCUGGCAUGUGGAAUUGAGUUAGAUCAUGUUCGCAAUUUGCCAAUAUAGAGUUUUGUAUCUCGGAAGUGGUAAUUAACCUCACAAAAUGCAAAAGAAACUGCAAAGAUUAGAAUUAAGAAUUGGUGAUCUGUUUCAAGGGCAUUGUAGAUUAACAACCCUGCAGGAAAAUAGGCCAAGCCACUUUCAUGUGAAUGAUAUUAUUGUAAUAUGAUAUAGAUACAAUGUAGACUAAUAAAUUGCUUAUUAGAUGCUUUUACUAUUCACAAUAUAUCCUGCUCAGGAUUAAGAAGGAAGAAAAAACCCACAAAAUCAAGGCCAUGCAACUUAGCUUUGGCAAUCUGCACAGAAAAAGGAAAAGAAAAUCCAGAAAACUAUGAAUAAAUGCUAAGAUUCAGAAUGUGAUAAUGGAAUAUUAAUACAUCAACAAUUGGCCAACUCGAACAUAGUGAAUACUCAGUUCCCAGGUGGGUUUCUGUUCCAAGACAAAUAGGAUGGAUCGCCAUAAGGCCUGCAUGAGUGAAUGGACAAAAGAAGUAUUAAAGAAUUACCAAGUACAAGGCAAAGAUAUCAAUUAAACCAAUGUUGUAAACAGCAAUUCUCACAAAAUAAAUUGACAAACAGGCGUAGGUUUCCACAAUUCAUAAUUCUAUAUGCUGAUAAAUCAUAUAGAAGAGAAGAUUAUAGCAUCAUAUUUUGGUUUCUCAUCUUAAAACAACAGCUCAAUUUCCACUGACCCUAAAAUAAUUCAUCGAAUGACUCUGGUCUCAGUGGUUUGUAUUAUGUACUCAUGAAGGUGUACAGUAAAUUAAAAAUUUCACACUACCAAAACUAGAAGAACUAUAUCCAUGUGAUGCUAAACAGUAAUAAGAGGAUUGAUAACUACUAAUGAGAAUACCUUGGCUUUAUAAGGUACAUUACUAUGAAAGUUGUUGCAAUGAAUAAGCACAAUCCACCAAUAGUGAUGUAUCCCAAGCCUAAGAAACUGUUUUUUCCACCAAUCCAAGUCGUAGUCGAAAGAACUAGCUUCUUUUUGCCUCCAAAAGCAUAAGCAUUAUAGUUAUUCUGUAUAACCACUGUUAUCAUCUCAUUAGCCUCAAGAUCCUGUUCAAUUCUCCCAUACAACUUUCGGAAGCUUGGCAAUGCUGCAGUGCGCAUCCAGACUAGAAGGUCCUCUUGCUCACUCAACUGUUAUAAGGCAAUAAAUUGAGCAGAGUAAACGAACGCUUGGAUCGGUAGACAGGAAAAUGUAAAAGGGAGAGAUUUCGAAAGAGAGAUGGAGAAAAGAUAGAGAGAAGAGAUGACUGCACUAACUGGUAUUUUUUCAUCCAGUUUUCCUCCUCCAAUCAAGCUUCCCUGCUGAAAGUUUUUAGGAUAAACUUUUGAUCCAAAUUUAUAGUUCUUAUCGCUGUCCCAUGCAAUAUCUUUCUUGUUUACAGAUAGAUUCAUGCCACCAACUGAGAAUCCAUAAGUAUCAUUGAACAAACUCCAAGCAACAAGGCCACAAGGCACAAUGGGCUUAUUAUCAACGCGUGCUUCGGGUUCACAGGGUGAUGUUAAAUCCUCAUUUUCUGGUUUCGCAACUGUUUGUCACUUCUGCUUUUGACAUAUCUGCAUAAAAGCAAUCAGAAACUUUACAUCACACUUUGGUUUGUAAUAAAUGAUCACAAGCUGGAAAAGAGAGUGAGAUUUCCAGUGGAGCUCUGAAUAAGUGAAGAUGAAACAAGCUAAUCAAGAAAGAGUAUAGCACACUAGAAGUCUCAAAUUUGCAAUUAGGUUUCUUUUAUGGCUAGGAGCAAGACAACUACAAAAGAUGCCACAAAUAAAAAAAAAAAAAUUCCUCACCCACAGAUUAAACUAUAUCAGUAGUAAAAGCAAAGCGUGAUGGCAAGUAAAUCAAGGUUUUCUUAGAUUAUGAAACCACAGAAUCUGGAGAAUCAAUAAACUUGGAAGAACAAGGCAUCUCCAACUGCACCAAAUAAGAAAUCCACUCUGAUCUCCAGAAAGCUUCACAUCAUUAAGGUCAAAUUAUUCAUUUGGUCCAGCUUAUACAGUCUAGCAUGCUGGUGUUUUCACAAAAACAAUGGGAAAAACACCCAAGAGACAUUUCAAAUAAAUAACAACUACUCAAUCCCGUUGGAAACAACGUCAGAAAAAAUAAAACAUACCGACGAUGGUUUUGAUAGAAGUUAUCAAGCUGGUAAUAGAUGUAAACCGGAUGCUGCAUUUUCUUUGGGACCUGAACAAUCAUUUUGCAAACUAAUAUUUUCAAACUGGAGGAAGAGAAGUGGAAUAAAUGAAACAAAUUCUUUUCAUGUUGUAUCUGCAAACAUCAGUUCUAAGAAAUUGCACCUACUGUCAAGCUCCGACACAGGUUUUGUUGGUCUUGUCACUCUGAAUAAAUGCAGUUUUCUCUUGAUCGGAAGGAAUGCAAUCCUCGUCAUAGCGGUCUACAAUUUCAACCACCUAUACAUCAGCAAUAGCAUAUCAGACCCAUUGAAAAGGUUACUUUUUUGAAAGACUCUAGCAGAUGGAUCAUCUAAAUCUUUACCCUCUCUGAUGCAGACAAGACAAAAGGCCAAUUGGUAUGAAUAUAACCCCUACUAGUAUAAAAGUUGUGACCACCUAAAAUAAUAACAGGAGGAGAAUCAGAAAAGAACAGAAAAGGAAAAAGGAUCAAGUUUCACAGAUCAAAAUCCAGUUGCAGAAUAUAAUGAAAACAUACCAAUCCUGGAGUUAAUAUCGGUUUGCAUGCAGGCAGUUCUUGUUGUGUAAACCUAGAAUCUGAAGCAUAACAAAGUGGCAACAAUUGGAUACUUAUAUUGACAGGGAUGAUCUAUAAAAAAAAAAAAGCAAUCUCAAUCAACUAAUCAUUCAUUUAAAAAAGGUUAAUCAGUGUUACGUGCUAAAAACCAGAAUUCAGAAACUAAAAUUGCAUAUUGAUCAGAUGCAACAAUGAAGUAGCCAGAGAAAAUUCCUGAAUUCUUCACCAUAAAUCGUCAUAUCUAUGGGAAAUUUACGUAAUUGAAUCAAUCAUGGGCUUUAAACUGUAUUGAUACUCAAUCAAAAAAUAAAAAUAAAAAUAAAAUAGAAAGGGGAUCUCGCAAAGGGCUUUCAUAAAUCCGAACAUUCAGAAACAUACUACCACUGUUAAUCACCCCGCAUUGCCAAACCUUAUGGAUUAAUGAUCAAGAACCAAGAAACGGAAUCCCAAAUAGCACUUAAGAACUAUUCUCAUUUUUUUAAAAGAAUUUACUUAUUAUAAUCAUGCAGGCCCGUGAUGGUUCUUGAAAAACCAUUUCUUGUUCCAUUACAAAUCUGAGGUUAACCGUUCGAGUAAUUAUCAUCAAAAUAGCCAAAAAAUUCCAAAAAUAAAAAACAUGCAUUUUGAGAAACGAUCAAUCACAAUCAUCCACAAAUUCAAAAGAAAUAAAAUGGAAGAAUCAAUUCCUCAGUAAAGCAACUGAAUAAAGAAAAUCAAAAAAACAAAGAAACAGAGGGAACUGAAAAUUGGAAGAGAGAAUCUACAUUUGGGUUGCCUGGAUUUCUUGGAAGAAGAUUGAGAAGAACCCUCCCCAGAGCUCAUCUUUUCAGAUAUGUACUAUUAAUAUAUUAUUCUUUGCAGAUUGAAUAAAAAUGCAAAGAAAAGAAAAGGGCCAGGGUGAAAGAGGCAAAAGCCUGAAAAAAUGCUUAAAAUCUGUAGAUUUGUUGGAAAGACGGAGAAUCUAUUCCAAAAAUAAUUUUGGUUUUCUUAAGGAAAAAAAAAAAGAAUAAAGAAACCAACUUCCUACAGUAGUUAACAAUUGCCAUAUCGUCUUUUCUUCUUCUUCUUUUCCUUUUUUUUUAAUUUUGUUAUUUUUAGUAUUUAUUUUUAUUUAAAAAAAUGAGAAGAAAAUAAAGGUAGUUAGCUAAUACCUUUUUAUUUUGUUAUUUUUAGUUUUGUUUUUCAUUUAAAAAAUAUAAGAAGAAAAUAAAGGUACCUAAUGAACACAUAUAAAAGUAGUUCGCUAGAUUCUAUUAUGUUAUUCAAUAAUUUAAAGUCCUCAAAUGAUUUAAGAAUUGAUAUCUAAUUUUAUAUAUUCAACGAUGAAAGCUAUAAUAAUCAAAAGAUAUUUGUACAAUUAGCUAAAACACUAAAUUUGUACAAUGGCUAAAACACUAAAUUUGUACAAUUAGGAAUUGGGCAUUAUCAUUGGUGUACAAAAUAAAUUUCUGAAAUUCUUUUGUCAAAAAAAAAAAACAAAAGAAAGAGUGAAAUUCUAUGACCAAAAUGCAAAAUGUUUUCAUCCUAGGAUACUUGAAUGAGAUAACAAAAGUUUGUGCUAAAUAUUGAACUUUGAUCCCACCUGGGAAAAAGAAUAUUGUCGUGGUAUUGUGGGGAGGUUGGACUAACAUUUCGAAAGAUUUUUUCCUUUUUAAGAUCUAUUGAUUGUCUUGUGGUAUCAAUUAAUAGUCCCACGUUUUAUUUUUUUAUUAAAAAUGAGAAUUAAAUUGAAAAUAUUCAAAAUUAGAGGGACAAUAAUAUGAAUACUUGUACUUAAAUGGUAAAAAUAAAGGGAGGAUGAGAAAUCUUAAAUAGAGAGAACUUCAUACUGUCUAGGUGGAGAAGGAAGCCAAGAAACGACAAAAUAGAUAGGAUUUAAAUGUUAUUUAGGUGGAGUACGGAUCUGGACACAUUUACUAGAAUAAGGUGGCAUUUGCGGUGGAUUUGUUAAACGAAUCAGCUUACCACAUUCAACAUUAAACAAUCCGUUAUGAAAAAAAGUGUACAAGUUCAGCACUACUGAAAAGUUUAAGCGGAUGAGAUAUUUCUUCAUUUUAUCAAACAAUUUGUAUCCAUAGUUAUCUAAACAAAUUCAUUUUCAGCACAUUCUUAGUGUUAUAAAGAAGACCCUAAAUUACACUUAAAAGAAGGCCCUAAAUUUAGAUUUUUGGUUCCUCAAUUAGCAAAUAUAAUCUAUGACUAAUUACCUUCCUUAAUGCAGUUAGUUAGAAAAAUCUAUUUAAUAGCAAUUGAUUCAUUUUCUUGAAGGAAACAAAGCUAAUUUAGUUUAGAAUAGGUAAGUUUCUUAAAGAAACUGAAGGAAACAAAAGUUUACUUUUUUUCUAUCACGCAUUUAAGUACUGAUUUGAUCAAGUAAGAAACACAAAAUCUUGAUAGAAAACAACAGUGAAGCACUUGGCUCAAACAUGCUCGGAUCAUCAACAUUUGCUAGUUUGCAGAUUGAACGGGGAAGGCAAGGAAACUCAAAAAAAAAGAAAAAAGAAAAGUCAAACCUCCUUUUAGAGUGGAAAAUGGCUGGUUUACACCAACGUUUUAGAACUCGAACCGGUGAUAGAAGCGACUGAUCAUCGAUUCACGAUUUUUUCAGUUCAAUCGAUUCAACCAGUCGGGUCACCUAUUCACUGUUUUUAUUUAUUUUAAAAAAUUUAAAACCUGAACAAUCAUCAUGUCCAUGGCAAGUAAGGACUCCCUAGGCGUUAAAGUUCGAACUUUACCAGAUCCAUACUUUAAUUUGAUUAUAUCACCUAAGCAAAAAUAUUUGAAAGCAUUUUGCACGCAUUAAAUUCAAACGUAUUAUCUUUUUCAAAAAUCAGAGAGAAAACUUUUAAGUCCCCUAAAAAAUCUUGACGGCAUGAAAUUUUGCAUUGAUACAACAUUAAUUUUUUCCAACCACAAAAAUAGUAAUAUUUUACAUGGAUGGACUGUAAUUUUUUUACAACCAUAAAAAAGAAAAGAAAAUCUCAAAUAAAUAAAAAAAAUCUCAAAUCAAGAAGAGAAUCUUUCUAUCCAUCUAAAAAAAAAAUGAAAGGCAACGUAUUGAAAACAGAGAAAAGAAAACUUCAAACGAAAAUAGAGUGAAAAAACUCAACAUACACAAGAAAAAAAGAAAAGAAAAUGUCAAAAUAUUGAACUAAAAAAUAUGGAAGAAAACAUCAACAAAUUAAACUAAAAAGAUGGCAAAAAAGAGGAGAGAGUGGAGACUGAAGAUUAAAAGAAGAGGAAAUGGAGUGAGGAUGAGAGUUUGUAAUGGUAAGUUAAUUUAUUGACCAUGAAAAUGGGGAUCUAGUGAAUGGAAAAUGGAGGUGAGAGUUGAGAUGGGGGAGAGAAUAGAGAUAGGAAGUGGCGGCUAAUGUAAAUGCAUAGGAUUUAUAAUGGUUCGUUGGUUUUGGAUUUCCCCAUUCUUUAGUUAUCAAAGGACAAACAAAUAUGUUUUUAAAUAACAAAUAGACAAAAAACCAAACGAGGUUUUGUACAGUGGUUAGCAUGACUGACUUCUAUAGUAGAGGUCUUUGGUUCGAUUCCGGGCACCAGUAAAAGAUUUUGCUUUUGACAAUUUACUCAAAAGAUAAGGGGGAAAAAUUAUUAAGUGCAAAACUGAAAAUCAAGAAUGAUCGGUUCAACCAAUUUAUUCUAAUUUUGAUGAGUUUGAUUUUGCUUUUGACAAUUUACUUAAAAGAAAAGGGGGAAAAUUAUUAAGGGCAAAACUGAAAAUCGAGAGUAAUCAGUUCAACCAGUUUACUCCAAUUUUGAUGAGUUUGACCAGUUUUCAACGGAUUAUUUGCUACUUCUGACUUUAGUAUAGAAUUGGACCGGUGCUAUAAUUACGGUUCAGCCGAUUGAAUUGGCAAGUCCGAUGUAGUCCUGAAAAUAUGGUUCAAUUCUAGGCGCCGGCAAAAAAAUUUGCUUUUGACAAUUUAGUUAAAAGAAAAGUGGGGAAAAAGAUUAAGAGCAAAAUCAAAAACCAAGAAUGACCGGUUCAAUAAGUUUACCUCGAUUUUGAUGAGUUUGAUUAGUUUUCAAUGGGUUAUUUGCUACUUCUGGCUUUAAUAUAGAACCAAACUGAUGCUAUAGCCUGUUCGCGGUACAAUUGAUUGAACCGGCCAAUCUGGUUCGGUAUUCAAAACACUGGUUUAUGCAUGAGAAUUUCCUUGCCCGAUUGGUUCAAGAAUCUUGGGAGAAAAGUGUUCAAAAUUAGAGGGGAAGAUCUUAGAAUUAAACAAUGCACUAAAAUUUUGGGAUAAAGAGACCUUUCAGAAUAUCCACAAGAGGAAAAAGAGAUGUGUUGCAUGGUUGCAAGGUCUACAGAAAGCUCCUUGCCAGAAUUAGUCCAAGUACUUAGAGAAAUUGAAGAUCAAGUUGCUGAAGAAUAUAAUACAAUUCUUGAACAAUAAGAGGCUUUGUGGUACCAGAAAUCAAGAUGUUAAUGUGGCUCCAAUGUAAGGAUAGAAAUUCUAGAUAUUUCCACAUGUCUACUAUCCACCGGAGAAAGAGAAGCCAAAUAUAUAACUUGAAGGAUGAGAAGGGUAAGCGGCAAGAAAACCCAGAAAUCUUGAAAGAAAUGAUAGUGGCAUACUUUGAAAAUUUGUAUAGUGCAAGAGAGGGGGGAAUGGAAUCAACUAGAACAUGAAGCAAGCAAGUUUCCACAAUUGAGGGGAGCAGGAUGAAAACUCUGACUAGGAAAGUAAGUGACUGUGAGGCCAAAAAGGCACUCUUCGAAAUGCAAGCCAAUAAAGCUCUAAGGCCGAUGAUAUUGAUGCAGAAUUCUAUUAGAAGUGCUGGAGUAUCAUAGGCAACGCAAUGAUUGAUUAUGCGAAGAAGGUAUUCAGAACCAAGGCCUUUCUUGAAUCAAUAACACUAGGACAUCUCUAUUCUCGAAAAAUGAACCAUCUCGAACCAGUGUCUCAAUUCAGGCGCAUCUUGUUGUGUAAUGUCGAUUACAAAAUCGAAUGUGAGUAUGAAAACUAUCAAAGUGUUGAUUUAGAUACCUAGAGUUUGUGUUCGCAAGUGUUUUUUGCAAGUGUCGUUCCAAAUCAAGACAUUAUUGGUGAUUCGCCUAACAAUUCUUAGUACAUUGGAAGAUGAUUCAUAGGUCACAAAAGGGAUGAGUUGAAUUUUGUGUAGAAGGGUUCACUCUUGUUAGGCAUACCUGAGUCUAACUUGGUACAAGUCUUUUGGUCACUUAAUUUUCCUUACUCUUUUAUUUUUAGUCUUUUCAUAGUUGAGUCUUUUAUUGAUUGAAUAAAGCAUUCGAUCCAUACUUGUUGGAUUCGCUGGAGAUUUAGGAUUUCAAUUAAGUUGUUUGGGUCUUUUUAGUUAGGUAGAAUAAUUGGCCAACUUAAAGCUUAAUUUGGGCUUUAGAUUGGGUCAUUAGUUUAGUUAGUUAAGUAGCUUUAGUCUUGGCCCAUUUGGAUUUGUACGGUUGCUAUAAAUAAGUCGUUCCUAUGCUUUUCUAGAGAGAGAGACUUGAUGAAUAAAAUUUAAGAGUUUUCUCUUUCUUGUUCCUUUGUGAACACCCACCCUUGAUAUAUGAUAGGGUAUUAUUUGUUAGCAAUUUUAUUAUUAAUUUCCCCUUUGUCCCUGCCAAAUAUUGUGUUAAUUGCUGACAUCUACUCAUAUUUGGUAUAUGGACUCAAUUUCAGGGAGAGGAACAGAAAAGUAUAAAAAAUGAGGGACUUUCAGGAGAAAAUUGAGACUCCUAACUCCUAAGAGUUCAACAGACCUGGCCCACAAGGAAGGAAGAGAAACAGAUUUCCGUUUCUUUGGCUAAUGAAGAAUUGAUUGGUACUAAGGCCCUACUAGCAAUAGCAAACGGGAGCAAGGAAACAUUGAGUAGGGCCUGGCUUUGGUACCCUUUGUCUUCACUUUCGGCGGGGACCACGGAGGAAAAGAGAAAAGGCAUUAGUCAUUGGACUUUAAAAGGGAAGGAAAGAAACGUACAGAGAGGAUAGUUUUUUAGAGCUUAGUUUUUAGGAUAGUUUUAGUUUUCUUUCAUUCCUUGGCAGGCGCACGCUUGCUGUUCGACAAUAUUCCCAACAGGAAAAACAUCUUUUACUCUUGCUUUCUAGUGAAAAACGUGAUGCCUUUGCAGUCAGUUAAUUCGCGUGGAGAUUUAUUUAUGCGGCGUGACUAAGCCUUUCAUCUAAUCAAGGAUCAACUCGAUGGCACAGUCUCGAAUACCUGUGAGAUCUAAUUAGUUUUCACGUGUUCCUUAAUUUGUUAAUAUUUGCACGUUGUCUAUUUGAAUUUUCAUGGGAUUAUUUUGUUAACUGGAUAUCAAGGGCCCGAUGUUCAAUGCAACUUAUCAAUCUCUUGCCAAUUUAGUCAAUUAAAUCCGUAAUUGUUUGAUUGAUUAAUAUUAGUUGCAACUGGCGUGUUUACACACUAGGGAAACGUGCAAUCUAAUUUAAGUAACCCUCGUAGCAUGUUAUUGAUUAAGGUUAGGUUUUUCUAGUUCUUAAUGCAAUUGAAAAAUUAAUUCCUACGGUUGUACCUAGGAAUAUUUUCUGGUUAGGAGUAAUCAAUGGUCGUACCUUAGUUAUCAAUAAAUUAAGAAAAAAUUGGUCGUUAGAUUUCAUCGGCGACUAUAACUAGUCUAUUAAUAAAUUAAGUGAACCUCCCUUGCAUCAAUAAUCGGAUGAAUGGACUGUGUCUGAGUAGUUAUAUCCUUGGCUAGAAUUUAUUUAUUCUUGAAUUAAUUCCUGUCUACAUUCAUGUUAGUUAAUUAUUCGUUUUAUUUGAAUUGCUUAAUUAUUUGUAGUUUUAUUCUGAUAAAACCCCUCUUUUUACCAAUUGGAAUCUCAAGAGACAAAUAUCCCCAAUCCUUGAGGAGACGACCUACUUGCCAUUGUCUACCAAUUAGUAAAUUUUGUCAAAUAAUUAAUUCUGGUAUAUCGGAUUAAGCAAACUUUUUGGGAACAUGGUGAAUCAAGUAACCCAUUGCACACCUAGAGUCCCUGCUCCAGUACCUAGAAUUGAUUAUUGACUGUUUUUAUUGCAAUAAGGUUUAUUUUUAUUAUUGCACAGGUUCGGCACCUGUUAAUUUUAGCGCCGUUGCCGGGGAUUGGCAUUAAUUAUUUAUUUCUUUUUAAGUUCAUUUGUGUUCUAAUUCUUUGAUACUUUUCUAGUGUAUGCUCUCAUUUUUCUUGUACAGACAAAUUAAUUUUCGACCCUGAAGUAGAGAAGCUCGCGCGUAGAACGAGGAAAGAAACCAGACAACUCAGAGAAGAGCACUCAAGUGCUACAUCUCAGAGACUUGAGCCAGCAGUUAAACCAGCAGAUUCGUUUGGUGACACUUCGAGUGACUCGGAUCAAAAGGAAGUCACCAUGGCAAAUGCACAAACACUAAGGGAGUUGGCUGCUCCUAAUUUAAAUCAGCACUUUUAUGCAUUACUUUCCCAAGUUUGAACGAUAACAUUCCCUUUGAACUAAAAUCUGGUCUAAUUAAUCUCUUGUCAUCUUUUCAUGGUCUACAGGUGAGGAGCCCUACAAGCGUUUACAGGAGUUUGAUGUCCUUUGCAACAGUAUGAAGCCUCCAGGAAUUACAGAAGAGCAACCCGCGAAGGAUUGGCUGUACUACCUACCACUAGGUAGUAUCACCACGUGGGACCAGUUGAAGAAAAAUUCCUGGACAAGUACUUUCCAGCGUUUCGAGUUGCAAGCCUAAGGAAGGAGAUAUGCAGCAUUAAACAACACCCAGGCGAGUCUCUGUAUGAGUACUGGGAGAGGUUUAAGAAGCUGUGCAUCAAAUGCGCUCAGCAUCAAAUAAGUGAGCAACUGCUCAUCAAAUAUUUUUACGAGGGGCUACUCUUCAGGGACAGAAGCAUAAUUGAUGCUGCAAGUGAAGGAGCGUUGGUAAACAAGACCCUUCGGACAGUAUAGGAGUUGAUUGAAGGGAUGGCUGAGAACUCACAGUUUGGUUCAAUGGAGGACAUCCUGAUGCGUAAGGUGAAUGAGGUAGAAGCAUUUUUUAUAGCAACAGCAGCUCUCCGAAUUGACAUCUUUCGUGCGACAACUAGCCGUAAGAAGUGCUUCACAAGCCAAAGUAUGUGGGGUAUGCACUGCCGUGGGUCAUUCUACGGAUAUGUGUCCACUGGUUCAGGAAGAAACUGCAGAACAGGUGAACAUGGCUGGCCACGCGUCCGCGCCAAGAAAGUAGUACGACCCUUACUCAAGCACCUACAAUCCUGGUUGGAGAGAUCAUCUCAACCUCAGUUAUGGAGGGAACAGGCAGUCCAACUUCGUACCAAAUAGGCAGCAAGGGUACUAGCAGCAGUAUCAGCCUCGCCAACCACCACCACCCUUCGAACUCAAGUCCGUCCAUGGAAGAGAUGAUGAAACAAUUACUUGCGAAUCAACAAAAGACGGAUUCUGACCUGUAAAGCAUGAGGAAUCAAUUGGGACAAGUGCAAUCAUUGCAAACUCAAGUAAAUCAAAUGGCCAUCGCGAUCAACCGUUUGGAGUCCCAAGUUCAAGGGAAGUUGCCAUCUCAACCUGAGUUGAACCCGCAGAAUAUGAGUGCAAUAACCUUGAGAAGUGGCAAGAAAGUCCAAGAACCCGAACCGGUGAUUCCUAAGGACAAAACCGAGGAACAAAUCGAGAAAGAAUUGGAAGAGGAGGGCAGAGACAACAAAGAUAAAAAGGUGCUUCCGGAUCUGAUUACUAGAGUUAAAACUAGUCCACCUCUCUUUCCUAACAGGUUAGAGAAACCAAAGAAACAGGACAAGGAGAAAGAGGUCCUGGAGAUCUUCUGCAAGGUGGAGAUCAGCAUCCCCUACUGGACGCGAUUAAACAAGUGCUCAAAUAAGCAAAAUUUUUGAAGAACUUGUGUGUCAACCAAAAGCGGUUGAAAGGAGAUGAACGAGUUAUAGUGGGGGAGAACGUGUCAAUAAUUUUACAAAGGAAGCUUCCACUGAAAUGCGGGAUCCAGAUAUGUUUACCAUUCCCUGUAGGAUAGGUAAUACCUUGAUUGGGAAGGCCAUGUUAGAUCUAGGAGUUUCGAUUAAUGUGAUGCCCAAGUCCAUAUAUGCUUAUUUGAAUUUAGACCCUUUAAAAGAGAUUGAAAUAAUAAUCCAACUGGCUGACCGAACCAAUGCAUACCUUGACGGGUUGAUGAUGAAGAUAUUUUAGUGAAAAUUAAUGAAUUGGUUUUUUCUGCUGAUUUUUAUGUGCUUGAUAUGGAUGAUGAACACUCCUAUGACCGAUCACUGUUAUUAUUAGACAGACCCUUCUUGAGCACAGCCUGAACCAAAAUUGUUGUAAAUAAGGGUACUUUGUCUAUGAAAUUUGAUGACGAGAUUGUUUAUUUUAAUAUUUUUGAAACUAUGAAAUAUCCUCCAGAUUCAAAUGUUGGCUCCGUUUUCUCUGUAACUAUAACUGACCCUGCGAUACGGAGGUUUUUGAAAUUGAAGGCAGGGAUGAGUUGGAAGUUGCCUUGACCAGGCACUUCGAGUCAUAGAUGAUCUCUAGGGUAGAGUUGAGUGAAGAGCUCAAAUGUGUGAUUGAAGUGUUGCAGACAUUGCCAACCACAAAAAUAAGGUAUGAUCUUGCACCCAUUUUUACACCCGAACCUCACCAACGGUUACUUUCAUUUGUGGUGCAGGCACCUGACUUGGAACUAAAAUCGCUUCCGAAACACCUAAAGUAUGCAUACUUUGGUGAGGGGGAGACCUUCCCAGUGAUUAUCUCCGCGAGUUUAUCAAAAAUCCAAGAAGACAAAUUGAUUCGAGUUUUGAGGGACCAUAAGCAGGCGAUAUGAUGGACCAUCGCCGAUAUCAAGGAAAUUAGCCCCGCGAUAUAUAUGCAUCGGAUUCGACUCGAGGAGGGUGCUAAACCUAUUCGACAAGCUCAAAAGAGACUGAAUCCCCUCAUGAUGGAGGUAGUAAAGAAAGAGAACCUGAAACUACUGGAUGUGGGGAUAAUUUUUGCAAUAUCAGAUAGCCUCUGGGUGAGUCCAGUACAAGUGGUCUCGAAGAAGGCAGGGGUGACGAUAGAAUCAAACCAAGAAGGUGAACUCAUACCAGUUCGAAAGCCCACCGGGUGGCGGCAGUGUAUCGAUUAUAGGAAGUUGAACGCCGUCACGAAAAAGGGUCAUUUUCCCCUUCCGUUCAUUGAUCAGAUGGUAAGCGAUUAGCAGGUCGAACUUACUAUUAUUUUUUGGAUGGAUUUUCAAGUUAUUUUCAUAUUGUUAUCACACCCAAGGAUCAGGAGAAGACAACCUUCACGUGCCCGUUUGGAACAUUUGCAUUCCUAAGGAUGCUGUUUGGAUUGUGCAAUGCACCUGCUACCUUCCAACGAUGCAUGGUAAGUAUUUUUUCAGAAUAUGUUGAGAAGAUUAUUGAGCUCUUUAUGGAUGAUUUCAGUGUGUAUGGGGAAAGUUUUGAUAACUAUCUAGAUAACCUCAAGUUAAUUUUGAUAAGGUGUAUAGAAGCUAAUCUCGUACUUAAUUGGAAAAAAUACCAUUUUAUGGUCGAGUACGGAAUAGUUUUGGGUCAUGUGGUGUCACCAGGGGUAUUGAGGUUGAUAAAGCGAAAAUAGAUAUUAUAUCUACUUUACCUUACCUCGUGAGUGUGCGGGAAGUGCAUUCCUUCUUGGGUCAUGCAGGUUUUAUAGAAGGUUAAUCAAAGACUUCUCAAAGAUUGGACCCCAUUGUUCCAACUUUUGCAAAAAGAUGUGCCCUUUGAAUUCGACGAAGCAUGCAGGAGGCGUUUGAUAGGUUGAAGGAGUUAUUGACCUCCUCACCUAUUAUCCAACUUCCUGACUGGAACCUACCGUUCGAAAUAAUGUGCGAUGCCAGCGACUAUGCAGUGGGCGCGGUGCUGGGUCAAAGAGUAGGAAAGGUAACCUAUGCUAUCUACCACGUAUCUCGAGCCUUGAACGGAACUCAGUUGAACUACUCGACCACCGAAAAGGAGCUUUUACCUGUUAUUUUUGCUUUAAAGAAAUUUCGGUCCUAUUUACUUGGUGCUAAAGUUAUUAUUUUCUCUGAUCAUGCAGCUUUGCUGUAUCUGUUGACCAAGAAAGAGGCAAAAUCGGGACUGAUAAGGUGAAUAUUACUGCUACAAGAAUUCGACCUGGAGAUCAGAGAUAAAACAGGGGCGGAGAACCUGGUAGCAGAUCACUUGAACCGAGUACAAGUCACCGAGGACGACCUUCCACUGAGAGAAACAUUCCCCGAUGAGCAUUUAUUUGCUAUUAAUUUAUUCUUGCCGUGGUAUGCAGAUAUUGUUAAUUUUCUAGUCGCUCACAAGUUUCCUGCAGGAUGGUCUAAGGUAAAGAGGGACAAGUUAAGGAGUGAUGCAAAAUCCUACAUUUGGGAUGAUCCUUACCUCUAAAAGCGUGGUGCCGACCAAAUCAUCAAAGAUGUGUAGGUGAGGAUGAAUUCCAAUCUAUACUAACCUAUUGUCACUCUUUUGCUUAUGGAUGUCACUUUGAACCAAAGAGAACGGCUCGUAAGAUCCUAGAGAGCGGGUUCUAUUGGCCGACCCUCUUCAAGGACGCCUAGUUAUUUUGUAAGUCCUAUGAUAAGUGUCAACGAGUAGGUAAUAUUUCUCAUAGGGAUCAAAUGACCCAAAUCCCAAUGAUUUUUGUCAAAAUUUUUGACAUUUGGGUAUUGACUUUAUGAGUACUUUUCCUUCGUCGUUUGGUUUUUUUUUUUGUAUAUUGCUUGCUAUGGAUUAUGUCUCAAAAUGGGUGGAAGCAAAGGCUACUCGUACUAAUAACUCCAAAGUGGUUGUAGAAUUCAUCAAAUCUAACCUUUUUGUCCGCUUUGGGAUACCGCGAGCAAUUGUAAGCGAUCAGGGUACUCAUUUCUGUAACAAGACUAUCGCGGCACUUUUUAGAAGGUAUGACGUCGUACAUAAAAUCUCUACAUCCUACCACCCUCAAACAAAUGGUCAGACGAAAGUAUCGAACAGAGAGAUCAAGUCAAUUUUAGAGAAGAUGGUCCGCCCUGAUAGGAAGGAUUGGAGUGUGAGACUUGAAGAUGCAUUAUGGGCAUAUAGGACGGCGUACAAGACACCCAUUGGCAUGUCCCCUUACCGGUUGGUAUUUGGGAAGCCAUGUCACCUCCCAGUUGAGUUCGAGCAUAAAGCGUUUUGGGCGGUCAAACAAUGCAAUAUGGACAUCGAAGAGGGCAGAAUUCAAAGGAAGUUACCGUUACAAGAAUUAGAGGAGAUUCGCAAUGAAGUCUAUGAGAAUGCUGUGAUUUAUAAGGAGAAGAAUAAGAUAUUUCAUGACCAGCAGAUCUCUAGGAAGACGUUCGAAUGUGGGCAAAAAGUUCUACUGUACCACUCGAAAUUGAAGUUAUUUUCAGGUAAAUUACGGUCUCGUUAGAUUGGUCCCUUCGUUGUAACUAAUGUCUUUCAUUAUGAUGCAGUGGAGAUCCGGAGUUUAAGGACGGAGAAGAAAUUUGUGGUGAAUAGUUAUCGUCUCAAGCCGUAUUAUGAAGGGGUUCCAGUUGAACGGGUGGAGAUGAUGCACUUGGAGGUCCCGAUUUGCUUAGUUUAAGCAAAUUUUGGGCUAUGUCUAGUCAAAGACAUUAAAUAAAGGCGUUUUUUUGGGAGACAACCCAAUUAUUAGUUUUAUUGCUUUUCAUUAUUCAAUUCUUUUGUUUUGUUUUUUCUCAGUUGGGUGGUAGUCGGUCAUAAUAUUUUCCUUUACUGUGACUAGGAAAUGCAAUCUUGGCGUGCUCACACUAUGUUAGUGACUCCUGAGGUCAGUGGACGUUUAUCAAUUUUGGCGUGCCCACCCCAUGUUGGUAAAAUCUCAACAUCUCGAGACGCUGAUAGGAAGUGCAAUCUUGGCUUGCCCAUGCGAUGCUUGUGUCUCCCAAGAUCAGUGGACGUUUUAUAAUUUUGGCGUGCCCACGCGGUGUUUGACGAUAAAAACUAAAUCCAAUAAAGAAUAAAAAAUAAAAAAUAAAACAAUAAAAAAAUAUUAUUUUCCUUUUAAAUCUUAAGUUUUGUUUUCUUUUUGAAAAUUCAAAAUUUUGAAAUAUAAGUCGAAAAAUGAAGAAACAAAUUUUUGAGAAAUAAAGAACCAAAAAAAAAAUCAUUUUCUUUACUUUUCUUUUCUUUUUUCUCUUUUUUUUUCUUUCUUUCUUCUUUUUCUUUCCUUCUUUCUUUUCUUUCUUUCUUUCUCUUCUUCUUCUCCGCCGCUUCCCCUGUUUUCCCCCUUUCCUUCUUUCCUUCUGCACAUCGCCGCACGCUUCUCUUCUCCUCCUCGCACCGCCUGCCCACGCUCUACAGCCACCACCACCAAUCCGCGUUCGCCGCCGUUGCUGUCCGCCAUCGCGCACCAGCAGCUCUACCAUUCGCGCCGCCACUGUCUAGCGACGCCACCGCCCUCACCUCACUUUCUCUCACUUAUCGCCUCCAUCCUCCUUAUUGCGCAGUUGCCCACCCUCCGGCCAAGUUGCGCCGCCACCUACCUCUCUCCAUUUCACCCACAGCCCAAGGCCGAGUCUCUCUCCUUGCUGCAACCUCGCACAGCCGCACGCCCAAGCGCGACCAUCACGCCACCGCUUUCUCAGACGCUGCGCCUCCCUCCAGUUCGCUCCCACCUCUGUAGCAGCCUCAGCUCCACCGCCGCCGAGCUCCAAGCUCCACCUCAUGGACCACCAGCUCUCUUCCUUCGCGCGCUAGCUCUCUUCGCCGACGCCUUUUCCUCUUUGCCGCGCGUUACCACCUGCCAAAAAUUGACAGGUGGAGGUAUUGUAAUUUCAAUCUCGAUUAGUAUUUUUUUUUUUAUAUGCUGGAAUUUGCGCUUUUGUUUCUUGGGUUUCUUGAUAGAUAAAAGCAAGAGGUGAUUUGGGCUUUUUCUGGGGUUAAUUUUGGUGGAACUAAAUUUAUUUGCUACUGCUCUCAUUUGGGGAUACUUUCUGGUCUUGAUUAUAUUGUUGAAUAUUGUUUGGGGUUUGACUACUUGAGGUUUCUAUUGCAUUUAGGGGAUAAAAUUUGCGCUCUUGUACCAGUUCAUUUGUUUGGAAAUUGUUGGGAGUGAUUUGGGAGCUACCUGUUAAUCGGGUCCCAUUUUAAUCUCUGCUUUUUCAUGGUACUGCUUGGUGUGUUCGGAUUUAUCAGAGCAGAGGAUUGGCCAUUUGAUUUCACUUUUCCCUGUGCAUACACCAGUGGUACUGGUGAGGGUAGUUUACAUAAUAUUUGUUACUCCUGUGUUAUUGGUUGCCUCACUGACUACCGGGCAUUUUUAUUGUGUUAUUUCUAUCCAACUUCUGUACUGCUAUUGCUGGAGUGCCAUUUUCUCGAGUCAUUUGCUAAUUUUAGUAAAUUGGGUACUUGACUGUCCAAUUGGAGACAGUUUGCAUUUGCUUGUUGAAAUAGGUUGUCUCUAUUUGCCUUGUUUGGGGGUAUUGUGUCUCUUUGAUCUCAAUCACUAAGUUCUUGAGAGCAUUUUUGCACUUUGGACUGCCUUGAUUCUGAUUUUGACUACAUUGGGACUACAAGUGCUUAUUGAUUGCAAUUGCUAUAUGUGUUGGGGUAUUCGUAUAACCUGUGGCUGAUUGAAUUGUGCAUUUUGUUCAUUGGAUUGUGCUUUUACAUUGUGGGUACUUUGAAUUUCUUGUUUCCAUUAUUUGUUGGAAAUUGUUGCCUCUUGUCGAUUGAAGUAAUCUUAAGAACCAAUGGUGCGGCCAUGGUCUUCUUCUAAGUCCAGGACACCUAGAACUUCUCAGCCCCCUCCUCCCUAGCACUUCAUUCCCGCCUUUGACUCCUCGCGCGACCCUUCUUCCUCUGGGAGGAAGGCUCGCCUUGGGAGGUAACGAGGUGUCCAUACCUCUGACCCUGCACAUUUUGGGGGUAAUUUGAACUUCACAACAGCCGACAAGCGGCGAUAUGCUGAAUGUUGUGAACGGCGCAUUAUACCCUGCCGAUAUCGGGACGCCACUUUAGACCUUUUAAAUAUUCGAGUUGACUUUGAUCGGUUGAUCUAGGCUAUUGGGUGGCAUCCCUACACUUAUAUUGUUGACUGUCCGGCAUUUGUCGAGUUGGUUGGGCAGUUCUAUGCCACAUUCGAGUUCGACCUCCCCAGGGGUUACACAGUUUCUACUCCUAAUGUCAUCCGUUUUAGAUUAAUGGGUCAAGAGUUCCACUAUUCCAUUACUGAUUUCAAUCUAGUACUUGAUUUUAUUGAUCAGGCCUAUGCCGAGUCUCGUGAGUAUGCCGAGAGUGCAUGUGACUACGUAUAACCCUUUUUCUCCCGCUAUCGACAUAUUUGGGAAGAGAUGUCCGUAGACCGUGAUAAUUAUGACUCUCGUCUAUCUAAGGGUUUUUAUUUGAAGGACCCGGCGUCUCGCUAUAUCCACCGUUUCUUGGCCUAUAGUUUCUCGGGUAGGUGACUUAGUUCGGGCAUUCUGUCUAACCCCGAAUUUUUCUUUAUUUGGUGCAUGCAUAAAAUGUUAAGGUUAACCUUGGAUGCUGGCUCGCUUCUCAGUUCAAAUCUAUUUUGCCUAAAAAGAAGCGCCCUUUGAUUCUUGGGUCAUACACUUGGCUGUUAAUUUGCAUAUACUUGAUAUUUCUAACCAUGAUUUGCAUAUAGCCUGUCACAUGGAGCCCUUGGACAUUCCGUGUUUAGCGAAAAUGGAUUUGGUUCGGGAGGGCGACGAUGGAUGGGAGGUUGUUCUCCCGGGAUCGCUACGCUCUCCCCUCGAUCAUCUUUUGCCCGAGCCUCCACGAAUGGCGGUGAUCUCGGCCAGUCUACUUCCGCUCCGCCUCCUCCCACCCUAGGGGCCGACGAUUGGCUCCAACUCUGGAACACUGUUGAGAGACUGGAGACUCGCGUGACCCACAUUGGCAUCAACUUGCAUAGCAUGGCGUAGAAUUUAGCAGCAUUUAUGCAUGAUGCGGGACUUGCUCCUCAGUUCGCGCCCGACCCACCAUUGUUUUGACGACUUCAGGGAAGUACUGUUGUCCUUCUCCUUCCUUUUUGCUGUUACAUUAUCACAUUGAGGGCAAUGUGUGACUUAGGUGUCGGGGGUCAGUUUGGGUGCUAGUAUUUCCAGUUUCCGAUUUUUGGGUGUUUUUUCCUUGGUUUUUAGUUUAGGUGUUUUUCCUGUUUGACCUGGGUGUGAGGGGGACUUGGAUUCGACUGGUGGAUCUCUUCAAUUUUCUGCAUUUCUUUAAUUUUCAGCUUGGCUUGCUGUUGUCUUGGUGAAUAUUUUGGCAACUCACUCUUCUAUUGCUGGUUGUAGUUUAUUCUAUGAAUUUAGUUUCGAUGGCAAGUAAGAACAUGUUGUCCUGGUGAAUAUUUUGAGUUUAAUGAUUUGGUGCAAUUUGUGGCUAACUUGUUUAGACAAUGUAAAUAUUUUGCUGGCACUGUUGUGUGGAUUGGUCCCUUGUUGACCUUAGUUCUCCAUGUUUAGGAGAUGAAAUGGGUCAUGAUCUUUAAUUGUUUAGUAUUUUGGUAUUUUAUUGAGAAUAACAUUGGCUAUACUCCGCUAGUGUCGUUAUCCAAUAACCGGAAAUUUUCACUAAAAGUGUCGAUUCUCGUAUCAAAAAGUGGCGAUAUUUAUAAGUAGGUAGUCCUGGAGUUGUGAAAAGUUGAGUAAUUGGGUUCUUUCAUCUAAAAAUGUAAGAAUUCACGUCAAAAGACUUGAAUGACUUGGAACUAAGCAUUUAUUCAAUCAAAAAAAAGAACAAAAAAAAAAUAAAAAAAAAGAGAGAACAGAUGUGGAAAAUAUGUAAGUCCAUGAUCAUGUUAGCCCGCCGAUCCUUGGUUCUCAAUGUUGAGAUUUUGGUUGCCAGUUGACUUAAUUGCUGACUGUUGCUAGUUAAUAUUUGGAUUUCCUAAGCGAGUUAGCCAUGAACUGGACGAGUCUGUGAUCUUAGGAGCUAACUGGGAGAGAUAUGUCUUAACACUUAGCCACUAAACCUUUAUUUUGGUAUAAGCACAACUUGGCAAUAGAUAAUGUGAGAGCCAGCCAUUGUUGAGUUUAGUUGUUCUCAUGCUUGAGGGCAAACAUGAUUCUGGUGUAGAGGGAAUUGAUAGGGUAUUAUUUGUUAGCAAUUUUAUUAUUAAUUUUUCCUUUGUCCCUGCCAAAUAUUGUGUUAAUUGUUGACAUCUACUCAUAUUUGAUAUAUGGACUCAAUUUCAGGAAGUAGAACAGAAAAGUACAAAAAAGGAGGGACUUUAGGGAGAAAUUUGAGACUCCUAAGAGCUCAACAGACCUGGCCUACAAACGGGAGCAAGGAAACAUUGAGUAGGGCCUGGCCCUUUGGUACUCUUUGUCUUCACUUUCGAAGGGAACCAGGAGGAAAAGAGAAAAGGCAUUAGUUAUUGGACUUUAAAAGGGAAGGAAAGAAACGUACAGAGAGGAUAGUUUUUAGAUUUUAGUUUUUCGGAUAGUUUUUAGUUUUCUUUCUUUCCUUGUCAGGCGCAUGCCUACUGUUCGACAAUAUUUCCCAACGGGAAAAACAUCUUUUACUCUUGCUUUCUAGUGAUUUCUAGUGAAAAACGUGAUGCCUUUGCAAUCAAUUAAUUCGCGUGGAGAUUUAUUUAUGCAGCGUGGCUAAGCCUUUCAUCUAGUCAAGAAUCAACUAGACGGAGCAGUCCCGAAUAUCUGUGAGAUCUAAUUAGUUUUCACGCGUUCCUUAAUUUGUUAAUAUUUGCACGUUGUCUAUUUGAAUUUUCGUGGGAUUAUUUUGUUAACUGGAUGUCAAGGGCUCGAUGUUCAAUGCAACUUAUUAAUCUCUUGCCAAUUUAGUCAAUUAAAUUCGUAAUUAUUUGAUUGAUUAAUAUUAGUGGCAAUUGGCGUGUUUACAUACUAGGGGAACGUGCAAUCUAAUUUAAGUAACCCUCGUAGCGUGUUAUUGAUUAGGGUUAGGUUUUUCUAGUUUUUAAUGCAAUUGAAAAAUUAAUUCCUACGGUCGUACCUAGGAGUAUUUUUGGUUAGGGGUAAUCAAUGGUCGUACCUUGGUUAUCAAUAAAUUAAGGAAAAAUUGGUCGUUAGAUUUCAUCGGCGACUAUAACUAGCCUAUUAAUGAAUUAAGUGAACCUCCCUUGCAUCAAUGAUCGGAUGAAUUGACUAUGUCUGAGUAGUUGUAUCCUUGACUAGAAUUUAUCUAUUCUUGAAUUAAUUUCUGUCUACAUUCGUGUUAGUUAAUUAUUCAUUUUAUUUGAAUUGCUUAAUUUUUUGUAGCUUUAUUAUGAUAAAAACCCCCUUUUACCAAUUGGAAUCUCAAAGAGACAAAUAUCCCCAGUCCCUUAGGAGACGACCCUACUUGCCACUGUCUACCAAUUAGUAAAUUUUGUUAAAUAAUUAAUUCUGGUAUAUCGGAUUAAGCAAACUCUUUGGAAACAGGGUAAAUCAAGUAACUUAUUACACACCUAGAGUCCCUGCUCCAGUACCUAUAAUUGAUUAUUGACCGCUUUUAUUGGCAAUUAAGUUUAUUUUUAUUAUUUCACAGGUUCGGCACCUGUUAAUAUAAGGUGAGUAUGUCUCUUUUGUCUUCAAGUUUUGGGUUAUCAAUCAAUGACCACAGUUAGUUGAGGUGCAUUUCUAUGCAUAUCAAGGUUUGCAUUCUUUUGAAAGUGUCGGGUUGAGAUACUAUCAAUAAGUUUGCAUCUUUGGGAGAUUGUCGAGUUGAGAUUUUCCAUCUAUUAUGUUCCAUAACCUAGUCACGAUAGAUCAUUCCCCUGCCUGUGUAAAUUGACUCUUCAAGAGUGGGAGUUUGGAGAUUCAGAUUCGCAUUAAAAUGAUUUCCAAAAUUCUGGUCGAGAGAAAUAGACCAUUGAUGAUUGAUUUGCUGGUCCAGACGAAUGCAAAUUCAUCCCAGGAAGACAAGAAUAUGAUAAUAUUUUCAAAUCAUAGUUCAAGGUAUCUUACACUUCGUGAACAAAAUGAAGGGCAAUAAAGGGGCGAUGGCAGUUAAAAUAGACUUGGAAAAGGCCUAUGAUUGCAUCAGAUGGAGUUUUCUCAAGCAGACUUUAGAGCUUGAGAAGUUUUCAAAUGCGUGUAUGCCAAUUCUAUGGAGAUAUUGUGGAAUGGAGGCCUUCGGUAGAGAGAUCCUUUGACUUUGUACCAUUUUGUGAUGUGUAUAAAGAGGUUGGGAUAGCUCAUCAAUGAAGUAGUAGAUAGGAAGAAAGAGAAACUAGUAAAGGCUUUAAAGUCAGGGUCCCUAUGACACACUUACUUUAUGUAGAUGACCUUUUGCAGUUCGCAGAAAACCAAUAACCAACAAGCUAAAGUAAUGAGACACAUUUUGAGAUAGUUCUGUGGAUUGUUUUGGUAGAAGGUGAGUAACAGUAAGUCAAAAUGUAUUGCUCACCAAAUUUCAGCAUUAAAAGAGCAAAUUUCUCAAAACUACAAAUAGGAAUUCCACUCAUAAAAGAUUUGGGAAAGCAUCUAGAUAUGCCUACAUAGUAGAGUCAUGAGGCAUAUUUUCAGUGAUAUAGUUGAUAAAGCGCGGAAAAGGUUAGUUGGAUGGAAGAGAAAAUUUUGUCACUUACUUAAAUCAAGACUGAUAGCCAUUCCCUUCUAUGCCAUAAAAACAACCGUAUUCAAGAAUGCAAUAUUUGAAGAAAUAAGGAAUUAUGUGAGGGGUUUUCUUUAGCCGGAUGUGAAGAAAUAGAGAAUUAUUCGCGAAAUUACAAUUACUUUAUCUUAUUUUUAAAAAUAUAUUUUGGAAUUCUAAAUUAUAUUUUGGAAUUCUAAAUUAUAAUUUUUAUUUGUUCUUUAGAUCUUUAGUAUCCAUCCUUCAGGUUUGUUCCUUGAUAUCUGUGUAGUUUGAUGAUGUUACUUCUAUCAUUACUAUAUAUUUUAAUAAAAUUAUGAUGAAAUUGUAUGGAUUUGUAUUUUUUUUAAAAUUAUUUUUGUUAUUUUAGUCUACAGUAACACUCUAAAAAUAAUUCCAAAAAUGCACAUAAUCUCAAAUGUAUCUAAAAAAUAAAUAGAAUCAAAUACCUAAACAAUUUUUACCCUCUUUCUUCUUUUAUCUACUACCACCCACCACACACUACUACCACCACUGUCAUCCAUUGCUACUAUCCACCACUGUCAUCCAUCCCCUCCUUAUUCCUUUCUCCAACUUGUCAUUCUUUCUUCGCUUUCUCCCUCUUUCUCCUCCAUUUUCCUCUCUCUUUUUUUUUCCUUCCCUUCCUCCAUUUUCUAAGAUGUUCCAUCCCAUCCCUUCUCCUUUUCGGAGUGACCAGGAGUUCCUUGUAGGAAGUUGCGACCAGAUCUGAAUCUAGUUGCUACUGGAGGUCAUGACCAGAGGGUUUUCUGGCUACAACCCUUCUCUGGCUACAACCCUCUGGUAGCAAACAGAAAGGUGAAGGGAGGGGUGGGGAAGGGAGGAGGGGAGGGAAGGAGAAGAAAGGGGAGGGAAGGAGAAGAAAGGGAAGAAAGGAAGAGGGAGGAAAGAGGAGGAGAAAUGGGAUGGUGGCAUAUCCAAAAAAUUUUAAAUUCUAAAAAUGUCUCAAAAUAUAUUCUAAAAAACAUCAUCAAAAACAUUUCUAACAAUAUCUAACCAUUUAUAGUAAAAAUUUUUCACAUGUAUAUACUAUUACAGUAAAAUUUAAAAAAAUACCCCAAAAAAUCCAAAUCACACAGAGCUGAUGUUUUAUCCCAAAAAAAAUUUCCAAAUUUUGUUGCAAAUUUGGCGUAUGUGGAACUAGAUUUAAUAUGCAUGAAGAGUUCAGAGAUCAACUUGAGCAAAACCUUCCUAAUAGGCAAAAAUCGAGAAAAAGGAAAGAUUGUAGCGGCCGAAAUGAUAUCCAUACCCAUUUUAGUGGUUUCUAUAUUAUUUGCAAGGAGUAAAGACUAGUGCCGCGGCUCACCCGAGAAGCAACAUCUUUCUAUUCACUUCGUGUAUCAACACUACCAUUAUGAUGUUUAAUUGCAUCAAGGAAGCAUUGUUAAGUUGUAUUGAUUUUGGUUCUUAAGAGUCACUUAAGUUGGUAGGGCUAUUAAUUAGAUAAUCGUACUCAAACUCUCUUCCCUUUUAUAGUUUUAUCCUUAUAAGAUUUAAACUCUCUCUUAAAUUGAAAUUAUUAUAUUGAUCUUGGACUAAAGUGGAAAAUCAAAUUCACUAAGGUAGAAUACAUUAACUAUCGCAGUGACUACGCCUUUUAAGUUAGGUUACAUUAACCAUUCUUAGGAAUUGAUUGACACGAACUUAUGAGAUAGAUUGCUGACUUCUGUUGUAGUUUUAAACCACCUCUCUUAGAUCAGUAGCAACCACCAAUGUUAAUGGUAGCAGAAAAAGAAAAGUUGCAAUUGAGACUUCGGGCUUACAGCUCAUAAGCACAAUAAGAAAGCGUGAUUUUUUAAUUAGGCAUAACAUAAACAAUACACACAAUUAGAACAAUAAACAAGUUCAACAUUUUAACGGGAAUAAGAACCACUUUAAACUGCAUAAAAUGGAGCUAGACCACGCUCACUUUUAUUUAGUGCCGAUAAAAUUAUUAGUUAUGGACCCAAAUUGAUAAACAAGUAUAUACUUACAAGAAAAAUUACAAAAAAAAAUAUAAGAGGCAAAGGGAAAUUUUCUUCUACUAUUUGCAUGGAGGCUUUGGCAACUUUUGAGACCUAAAAACUAAAAAACCGAGGCAACUGACUAUUUAAAAAGCCUUAUGCGACUGACUUCUACAUCCGACCUUAAACUCAAUCACGGCUCUAGUUGCUUUCAAUAGGAAAAUGAUACGGAAGGAGUGUCUAAAAAAAAAAAACUUGAACCACUUCUUACACUUUAUCUAAUACAAAUGAAGGGAAGGAGUGUCUAAAACUUUUUGAAAAGUACUAAUAUCAUGUUAUCCUCAACACUAAAGGGAUUUAAUCGCAUGCAACCAACCAAAAUAGACAUAAUAACACAUACAUAGACUAACCAAUAACAACAUGACAUUUAGACCAUCACUUAAUUAAUAAUAUUAAAUAUAAAAGGUUUGGUUUAACUUCAUGUAUAGCCUCCCUUAAACCAAACUCCUCAGAUCUGGAAAUGUCCAACAUCUUCUCUGUCUUCAAUGCCUUUGUAAAAAUAUUCGUUACUUGCUCUUCAAUUCUGCAAUAAUCAAUGUCAAAUCUCCUUUUCUCAAACCAACACACAUAUAUUUUAUACUUGAUAUCUAUGUGCUUGCUAGCCCAUGAUGAUCUGGAUUUUUGGACAACUCAAUCACUAGCUUAUUGUUACAAUAAAUUUUCGUAGGAUCAAUAUGUUUGUGUUGUAUAACACCAAGCAUGUGAUGCAACCAUAAUAUGUUUGAGUAGUAUUGUUAGCUGCUGCAAUAUAUUCUGCCUCUAUGGUAGAUAAUGCAAUCAUAUGCUUGUGCUACUUGAAAUUCCAAGAAAACACCCCAAAACUAAUAAAAAUGCAUAACCGCUUGCUUAGUACCAGAACAACUAAAUAUACAUGAUUAAUUCAUGGAUUGCUGAAGAGGUUUUGCUCUCGUGGUUAAAGUUGAGAUUUCAAAAUUUAGAGAUUUUGGGUUUAAAUCAUCCUUUCUCUCCUCAUUUCUUAAAUCUCACUAUUGGCACGAAGAAUCCCUGUGCACACAGCAGAAGCAAUUCUAACACAUAAAAAAUAUGUGAGAAGAGGAGGAGAACAAACACUCAAUAAUUUAUUUAACUCAAACAAAUAUUAAGUCAUAACCUUUCACUCACGACAACUCACAAAUCUCAACUAUGAGAUUUUCUCUCAAAUCUAAUCUCUAGACUCAACUCAACUCUCCACACCACUUCUCUUCACCUAAUAACCUACUAGACUAGUAGUAUUUAUAGGUUCUAAAACUUCCUAAAACAAAUAUAAUUGUAAACCAAAACUUAUUUGGAAAUUGACUUGAGAUUUCCUAAUCGAAUAUGGAAACUAAACAAAUAAGAUACCAAAAGGAAUUAGGAAACUAAAUACUAAAAUAGCUUGGUUUAAUUUCCUUCAUUGCCUCCCUUAAACCAAGCUCUUGAUGUUGUUAUCUCCAAUUCCAUCCCUAGCUUGAAUCUCCAUGAAAAAUUCAGUUGCUGUAUAGAUGAUAUGGAAUUCCAACUUGUAAUUGAUCUCUAAUUUCAUCUUUACGCGCGAUGGUGGAUGAAACUUGUGCUUCUCAAACAAUUUCUUCUCUUGAUCGCUCUUGUAAAGAAAUUCAAAUAUAUCCACCAAUUCUUUAUUAGAUACUCCACAAUUCAAUUCAUCCAUAUCACCAAUAAAGCCUCCAAAGAUCAGAAAAUCAUAAUUUUACCAAUAAGGUUUUCAACAUCACCAUAUUUUUCCUUUAGUUUUUCAACACUAAUAACUGCAUCAACUUUUGCAGUAUCACAACCUUCAAUUAAUUUGUCAACCUCACAAUUGAUUUCAACCAAUCUCAUCACAUGAUUUUUCUCUUCAAAAGAUUCAUCAACCUCAAUAAAGUCAACAAUUUCUCUAUCAUCAUGAUUUUCAAUCACAUCUUUAAUUUGAUCAAUGAUAAAUGACUAAUUUACGUAAUAAUUGUAUGAUAUUUCAUAUUAUUUUUAGUCACUUUAGUUAUAUUAUUGGAAGAAAAUGAAUCAUUUUGGCUAUAAUUGGUGAAAAAUGCUUUUAAGUGAUUAAAUGAGGAUUUUAUCACUUUUUAGUGGAAUUUUGCGCAUUUUGACAGUUUUGACACAUCUUCGUAUUUUGGCUAUAACUUGAGCUACAAUGAUCGGAUUGAGAUGAUUCUUGAACCAAUUUGAAGAUAAGAGAUACAUCUACAACUUUGGUGAAGACAUCUGAAUCCAGUUUGAAGGUUUUCCAAGUCAAAAAGCCGAAUUACAGUAGCUAAUUUCUACUGGUCGAAACUGGAACAUGGCAGUGAGCAGGUAAGGGUAUUUCGGUCAAUUCUCAGCCCACAAAAAUUCAAAUGAGGUGAUUCUUGAUGCAUUGGAAAGCUAACUCAAAAGGCUACAAGUUUCAUGUUUUGGUCAAGAGCUAAAUCAGCUUUUAUCAUCAAGAAAAAUGCAGUUGAAAUUGAGUCAAAAUCGGAGCAGAGCUGGAAAUUGAUCCAGAAGUGACCAAAUGGUCACUGUAUCAAUCCGGCCGGAUUUAAGACCGGAUUUAUGGCCGGAUUGUGGUCAGAGAAGUCUGCUCUUUACGCGGAAAACUCAAUUUCACCUCCACCAACUCACAUGUGAUGCUAUACAUGUGAGAAACAUUCCAAGCUGUAAAAGGGAGAUGUAAUCCUCAUUUCUUGACCACCUUUCAUCAUUAAAGAGCCAAAAUUCAUUGCAAGAAGAAGAGGGAGGGGGGAGACCAAAGAUUGGGGAUCCAACAGUAGAAUAGAGAGAGAUACGGGAGAAGCUUGAAGUUGCAGAAAUGUAGUUCUUUCAUCUCCCUAGUGUUAGUUUAGCUUAGUAUAGAGUAGUAUAGUUUGUCCAUUCUUGUUUAUUAUCUAGAUUAGGAUGAAGAUGGAGGAUGAAGAAGGCAAGGAAGAAAGCUCAUGUGACAAGGGUUGUAUUCCUUCCAAACUCUUUAUCUUUUGUACUUGAUUCCAAGUUUAGUUAAUAUACAAGUUCUGGAUUUUGUGUUCAUUAUGUAUUUUUAAAAUUUAUACCUUGGGUUUGGUUGAACUUUCUAUGAUUGUUAGUGUUUAUUAUUUGGUUAUUUGAUUGCUAUGAUUUGAGCAAGUUAUUUAGCACUUUGACUCCUUAAAUCAUGAUUAAUCUGGUACCAUUAAUUAUGAUUAUCUAAGGUGUUGUUUCUGCAAUGAAAAUUGAGAUUUAACACUAGUUCAAGAAGUGCUAAACAUAGGGAGUACACUCACGAAAGUAGAGGUGCAUCUAUGUGGUUUUAGUGAUUCAUUUCAUGUAAUUUCACUAAAGAAAUGAACUUGUAGCUAAUUUCAUAACCAUGAGAAUAGGUAUGGAUUAGUUAUGAGUAUAAUUGAUUCACUACGAAAGUAGGUUUCACAUGUUUAAGGAAAUUACACCAUAACUAGUCUAGAUAGUAGUAUUCAAUGAUCCAAUUAUAGCACUUGCAUGAGUAGUUAGGGAUACCACAACCUAAGGAGCUUUCAUUUGCUAUUUUCUUGCAUAAUUUCAGUAGGUUUUAAUUUGUUAUAAUUCAUUGAUAGUCUAAAUAAUAGAGAAGGUUUAGUAGAACGGUAAUUGCAAUCUUCCUUGUGGGAUCGACCCUUAAUACCCUAUACUCACUCACGAUUCGUAUACUUACGAUAAAUCGCGUGUGGGGUAUUUAGGAGUUUAUAAAUGUAAAAUUUGAUUAGGAUGAGCUUAAUUGUAUAUGUAUACUCCGCGCACGUCAAGUUUUUGGCGCCGUUGUCGGGGAAGAUUUGGCAAUAUCGGUGUGAAGAACAACUUUAUUAGUUUAGACAUAAUAUUAGUUAUAAUGUGAAUGUUAUUUUCUGUUAUUUUUGUGUUUUAUGUGUGUGUGUGUUUCAUUACCUAUUUUUCUUACUAAUUUUGCUUUUGAGGUUGUUUAAAAGCAAUUUUAGGUGAUGAGAGGGGUAGGUCAAUUUGGAGGACAAUGCUUGAGAAGUGGAAGAAUGGCAAUGGAUGGUUAUCAAGUGCAAAGCUCCUUCAACAGAGGUAACUAAGAAUUUGCUGAAUGUAUGUCUUUUGAAGAUGGUAUAAGGUGCUUAAAGGCUAAAUUGGAUGUUAUGAUGUUACAAGUUCAACUGGACACAAUUAUGCAUGAAAUUGAGCAAGGAGGAAUGCUAAUGCUUUUAAUUCUUAUCAUGUGAUUUGUGACUUGUGUGGAGGUUAUCAUGCUACUAAUACAUGUAUGCAAGCACAAAAUGUGGAUUAUUAUGAUGAAUUAGAGCAUUACAAUCCUUGUUUUGAUCAAUACAGUGCUAAUUGGAGCAAUUCUCCUGCUUAUGGUUGCAAAAUCAAUGUGCAUAUAGUGAUUAUCCGUAUUUUUAUGAUUACCAACCUGAAAGUGUCCAAUAUGAAUCAAAACCAUCUUGGAGUUGGCAAUAGAAAGGUUAGCUAAUGCACCUCUACCUUGGAGUUAGAAAGUGAACCAUUAGUAAUGAUUCUAAUGCAUCUUGGGAGCUAGCUGUAGAAAAUUAUUCUAAUCAAUUUGAUUCAGCAAUAGAAAAGCUAGCAAAUGCAACUUCCGACCGUUUUGAUAGGAUUGAGGAAAGAAUAGAUGAAUUAGCUUCUCACUUUGGUAGAAUACAUGAGCAAUUGAAUGAAUUGCGUGGAGUUAUUUCUCUAAUAAUUUGCAAAAUGAUCCUAGCAUGAAUGGUGGGAAUGUUGUAUGUGAAAAUGGAUUGCAUUUUGAUCAAAAUGAUGAUUCUAACUUGUGUUUUAAUGAGCAAAUAUCCAUUUCAUAUGAUAAUAUCUUUGAAACUAACUUUGAGCCUCAAGAAGUGAGUUUUAAUGACUCAUUUUUCACCCCUCUUGAGGAGUGCAUUGAAAGUAUAGGUUCUAAGGGUAUUGCUGCCCAAGAUACUCUCAUGACAUUUCUUUGGUAAAUUCUCAAGUGGUGCAUAUUCAAGGUAAUAUUAUGAAACACUUGGGAUAGGUAAGUCACUUUCAUUUCUCACAUCAUUAAUCAUGUGGCUUUGGCUAUAAAGUCACCAUUUAAUGAUCCACCACGGCCUAAAAUGGUGGAUUAUUCGUUAACUAAACCUCCUUGAAAAAUGAGGAGAAAUAGUCAAGCUAUUGACUUUAAAGAAGCGCUUAUUGGGAGGCAACCCAAUGUUUGUUUAAGUUGCUGUUACUUUGGAGUGAUUUUAUGUUUAAAGUAUAAGUUUGAGUAAUUUUGUUGUUUUUCAUUUGUAAGUUUUGGAAAAGUGACCAAAUGAGGUGAAAAAGGCGAAGUUUGAUCAAAGAUCUCAUACCUCAAUUCAGUAAUUGUGGUUUUUGAUGCAUUAAGAGGUUUAGAAUGCAUGUUUAGAUCAUUUUACAUGUGCGUGAAUGGUUUAUUUUGACAUAGAAAUGAUCUAGGGUGUAUUUUGAAUAAUUGGGGUCAAACUGAAAAUUGCAAAAAUUCUGCGAUAAGUGCAGAAUCAAUGGAUCCGAGCUCUCGGAUCCACUUCUGAAUCAGAAUUUUUUUUCCAGCUCACUGGCCAGAAUUCGGCCGACAAUCCGGCCGGAUAUCCGGCCAAAAAUCGGCCGGAUUCUGGCGAUAUUUCAGCUUCAAGAGGAAUCCGUGAACGGAUUCCUAACAAUUCCCCUUCCUUUUUCUUCAACCUACACACACCACUCACUAAAACACCACUUUUCACCAUUUAAUCUUCAAAUAGCCUUCACCAAAUCACUUUCUCAUCUUUUAGAGUGAAUUUCAUAGUACAUAUUCUUUCAAAAACAACUCUAAAGUGGAUUCAACCUUACCAAUAGUUAGGGUUGUACUUUCUUGAAUCACUCAAUUGAGGUCAAAUUGGAGUAAGUUUCUUGGGGUUUUCACAUCAUAUUUAUCACUUAACAUCACCAAACCAAUUUGAGGUAACAAUUCUUCACCUAACUUUGUUAUUUGAAUUUUGCCAUGGUUGAAUAUUUUCUAUUUUUAGGCAAAUUUUUAUAUGUGAAGUUAGGUGUAUUUAUUUGAGCUUAUUGAUGUUAUUGGUGAUUGUUAGUGAUAAAUAUAUUUUGUGAUUUGCAUUUAUUGUAUUUAUUGGUGAAUUCUUGCUAGUUUUAUGCUUAAUUUGGCUUGGUAACAAAGUGUUAUUAAGUGGCCAAUAUAGCAUUUUAAUUAGCUUAGUGGGAGUUUUUGAUAUUCAUGUGAGUAAUUUAGAUUACCUAAUGAAUGAAAAGGUGCUUGAUUGAAUGAUUUCUUGAAUUCUUAGGUAAUUCUAAAUGGAACUUAUAUAAUGGAACUUAUUUUGUUCAUGAUUGUGGAUUUUUUGUGAAAUUAGCUUCCCUUUGCUUUGGAUACUAAUGCAUAUAUUUGAUUAGCAAAGAUUAGCUCAUUUCAUGUUUUUAUCCCAUGAACAUUGUAUGGUUCCACAUGCUCGAUCAUUUUUCCUUUUCCUUGACUUGCAUGUUUUCUUCUUGUUGAUUGCAACCGUUUAUUUUUAAGAAAUUUAUUUGUUUUGAUUUUGUCUUUUUCAGGGUGCAAUAAGUGAACUCUCCAUUCUUUCUCAAAUACGGUUGGAAAUUCAUCACAUUGCCAUGGAUUUGGAUCGCGCAAGUCAUAAGGGGAGUAUUUUCUUUUACUCUUUAUUUAUUUUCCUUUCUCACAUUGAGGACAAUGUGAAGUUUAAGUGUGGGGGAGGAAAUAUUUGAACUUGCAAAUACUUUCUAUGUGAUGAUAUUUUAGAUUUAAAUGCUUAGAAAUGUUGGAAUUGUGUUUGAAUUAUUUGCCAUGUGGAUAAUUUGCUUGAAAUUGGGUUUGUUGGCAGGGAGUUUUCAUCCAUUUAUAAGGAGAAACUCUGUAAAAAUUUUUAAAAUCUUUUCCAAUAUUUCACUUAUAGCCCAAAAGUUCUUCAAAUUUUUCAUUUUCAUUCAAAAAGGGCUAAUUUGUUCCAACCUUAAGUGUUUAUUCUUCCAAUUGUUGAAACUUUAUAUGUAUUUUGGAAGUUUAGUCCUCAUUUAACUUGAAAAUGAUUAUUAUGCAAUUAGGAUUUUUGCAUUUUAGAAAGUAUAUUGGAUAAAGUGAGGAAAAUAUGCCUAUAAUUUUACAUGUUUAAUGAAAUUUCUUCUCUUUACUUAAUUUUAUAAGUAAGUGAUUGAUAUAGUUGAUAAAGGUUAUACUCCUCCUUUGAUUAGUCUUAUAUAUUUUCUAAGAGGGAAUAUCUAUUUAUUGUCCUUUAUUUCUAAAAAAAAAAAAAAAAAAAGAAAAAAAGAGAAAAAAGAAAGUAAAAAAUUAUUCUACUCCAAUGAUUUUUGUACCGAGUAACCGGGGUUGGCAUCUACAAAUGUCGAUUUUCGCGUAAAAAGGUACUUGAAUUAAGAAUGCAUGCAACUUGAAUAAGUGAAAUGUUGAGUAACCGGGAAUCUUCACCUAAAAGUGUCGAUUUUCGCGUAAAAAGGCAUUCUCACUAUUUAAGUAAAAUUAGUAUGAAUAAAUCCCUCUUAGUUGUAAAAUUUGAGAAAAAGAUGAUUAUAGGAGGAGGAAGGCUAUAAAUCGACUAUGUGAUUUACUUAUUUGUGAAAUUAGGUUAGGGUAAGAGAUUACGUUUAACUUGUUAAUUAAGGUAUAAUUAUCUUUCCUUUACUUGAUAUUAUGAGUAUUUAGUGUAAUUGAAUAAUUGUAUAAUGAUUAUUUUUCAGUCUGAGAAAUUAAAUUUGACAAAAGUGCAUAUAUUGUUUCACCGCUUGAAUCAUUGUAGUUGAUUAUGUGUGGAUUGCUUGAGGACAAGCAAUGAUUUAAGUGUGGGGGAGUUUGAUAAGUGAUAAUUUAUGUAAUAAUUGUAAUAUUUAUAUUAUUUUUAGUCACUUUGUUAUAUUAUUGGAAGAAAAUGAAUCAUUUUGGCUAUAAUUGGUGAAAAAUGUUUUAAGUGAUUAAAUGAGGAUUUUAUCACUUUUUAGUGGAUUUUGUGUAUUUUGACAGUUUUGACACAUUUCGUAUUUUGGCUAUAACUUGAGCUACAAUGAUCGGAUUGAGAUGAUUCUUGAACCAAUUUGAAGAUAAGAGAUACAUCUACAACUUUGGUGAAGACAUCUGAAUCCAGUUUGAAGGUUUUCCAAGUCAAAAAGCCGAAUUACAGUAGCUAAUUUCUACUGGUCGAAAUGGAACAGGGCAGUGAGCAGGUAAGGGUAUUUCGGUCAUUUCUCAGCCACACAAAUUAAAUGAGGUGAUUCUUGAUGCAUUGGAAAGGUAAGCAAAGGUUACAAGUUUCAUGUUUGGUCAAGAGCUAAAUCAGCUUUUAUCAUCAAGAAAAUGCAGUUGAAAUUGAGUCAAAAUCGGAGCAGAGCUGGAAAUUGAUCCAGAAGUGACCAAAUGGUCACUGUAUCAAUCCGGCCGGAAUUUGGCCGGAUUUAAGGCCAGAUUUAUGGCCGGAUUGUGGUCAGAGAAGUCUGCUCUUUAUGCGGAAAACUCAAUUUCACCUCCAAACUCACAUGUGAUGCUAUACAUGUGAGAAACAUUCCCAGCUGUAAAAGGGAGAUGUAAUCCUCAUUUCUUGACCACCUUUCAUCAUUAAAGAGCCAAAUUCAUUGCAAGAAGAAGGGGGGGAGACCAAAGAUUGGGGAUCCAACAAUAGAAUAGAGAGAGACGGGAGAAGCUUGAAGUUGCAGAAAUGUAGUCUUUCAUCUCCCUAGUGUUAGUUUAGCUUAGUAUGAGUUGUAUAGUUUGUCCAUUCUUGUUUAUUAUCUAGAUUAGGAUGAAGAUGGAGGAUGAAGAAGGCAAGGAAGAAAGCUCAUGUGACAAGGGUUGUAUUCCUUCCAAACUCUUUAUCUUUUGUACUUGAUUCCAAGUUUAGUUAAUAUACAAGUUCUGGAUUUUGUGUUCAUUAUGUAUUUUAAAGUUUAUACCUUGGUUUGGUUGAAUUUUUAUGAUUGUUAGUGUUUAUUAUUUGGUUAUUUGAUUGCUAUGAUUUGAGCAAGUUAUUUAGCACUUUGACUCCUUAAAUCAUGAUUAAUCUGGUACCAUUAAUUAUGAUUAUCUAAGGUGUUGUUUCUGCAAUGAAAAUUGAGAUUUAACACUAGUUCAAGAAGUGCUAAACAUAGGGAGUACACUCACGAAAGUAGAGGUGCAUCUAUGUGGUUUUAGUGAUUCAUUUCAUGUAAUUUCACUGAAGAAAUGAACUUGUAGCUAAUUUCAUAACCAUGAGAAUAGGUAUGGAUUAGUUAUGAGUAUAAUUGAUUCACUACGAAAGUAGGUUUCACAUGUUUAAGGAAAUUACACCAUAACUAGCCUAGAUAGUAGUAUUCAAUGAUCCAAUUAUAGCACUUGCAUGAGUAGUUAGGGAUACCACAACCUAAGGAGCUUUCAUUUGCUAUUUUCUUGCAUAAUUUCAGUAGGUUUUAAUUUGUUAUAAUUCAUUGAUAGUCUAAAUAAUAGAGAAGGUUUAGUAGUACUGGUAAUUGCAAUCUUCCUUGUGGGAUCGACCCUUAAUACCCUAUACUCGCUCACGAUUCGUAUACUUGCGAUAAAUCGCGUGUGGGGUAUUUAGGAGUUUAUAAAUGUAAAAUUUGAUUAGGAUGAGCUUAAUUGUAUAUGUAUACUCCGCGCACGUCAAUCAAUGAUUUCUCUUCUUUCUCAACCACUUGAGAAAUUUCUUCUUCAAUAACAAUUUUCAUUUUCAUGUGUAUCGACAAUUGUUACAAUUUCUUCUUUCUUUGCUCAUCAAAAAUUCUUUUCUUCUUCCUCAUCACAAAUUUCUUCUUCACCAUGACCAUAGGAAUUUGUUAAAAAUUUCCAUGCCUCCUUCGCUGUCUUUACGUGUAUGAAUUGUUUGGCUACAUGUGACUGGAUUUGGGUAUGGAGAUAGUAUAAUGCCUUGUAGUUCUACUGUUUUUCCUCUCUAAUUAUUCAACUGCAUCCCUUAAUAAUUCUGUGCCUUCUAUAGGUUCCAUGAACCCCUUUUGGAUAAUCUUCAAAACUCUAAUAGUUUUGAAAAAAUUCUUCAUCAUCGGCCUCCAAUUCUCAAAAUUGUUUUUACCAUUAAAGAUAAAUACACACACACAUGGUAAAUAAUGCGGAUCCAUAUUUUAAUUUCACAACAAGCCCUAGGAUCAAAGCCUAGAGUUUUGAUACCACUUGUUAGCAUGAAGAAUCCCUGUGCACACAGUGGAGCAAUUCUAACACAUAUAAAAAUAUGUGAGAAGAGGAGGAGAACAAACACUCAAUAAUUUACUUAACUCAAACAAAUAUUAAGUCGUAGCCUUUCACUCACGAUAACUCACAAAUCUCAACUAUGAGAUUUUCUCUCAAGUCUAAUCUCUAGACUCAACUCAACUCUCCACAUCACUUCUCUUCACCUAAUAACCUACUAGACUAGUAGUAUUUAUAGGUUCUAAAACUUCCUAAAAUAAAUAUAAUUGUAAACCAAAACUUAUUUGAAAAUUGACUUGAGAUUUCCUAAUCUAAUAUGGAAACUAAACAAAUAAGAUACCAAAAGAAAUUAGAAAACUAAAUACUAAAAUAGCUUGGUUUAAUUCACUCACCCCUCUCUACUUAAAAAAAGAUAAAUUCACAAAUCAAUUUGAGCAUACACUUUGUCGGUGACUAAAGUGAGAAAAAGUAAAAUUACUCGGUGACCAAGAUAAAAUUCACUCUCUCUAGCAAACUAAAUUCUUCUCUUAAGUCGAACACUGCUACCACUAAUGUUCUCUGUGGUAUGCUGCUUUUUGAUAUCCUGAGGCAACGAUUUUAAUUGGAUCCACUACUUGUGUCAUCACCAUGCAAUAAUCAUGUUUUCAUUUCAUGCUUGUUCCAAUUUGCAUUUUCAACUACCUCUGGAAUAGAAUAUAGUUAACAACGACUUUUCAUGAUUCGUCAUUUUUCUUGAUUAUAUUUUAUUUCCUCCAAAGCUGCUUUUCUUUUUUUUUUUUUUUUUAAUUUCUCCAAAGCUGCUAUAACACCUGCUUUAACAAUUUUUAUUUUGUGGAUAAUUGUUCAGCUUUUUUUGGCAAAGGUUUAACUUUUUUUUUUCUAAAUAAAAUAUCCUUUUGUGCUGCUAAAGUGAAUAAGUGUAAGAUUCGUUUCACGUUCUAUAUACAUAUUUAAGCAUGUGGCUCCUAUCAUACCAAAAUUAUAAAAUUUGUCGAUUGAUAUCUUAAACUUUUUUUACAAUGAACAUCAGUCAAGAUCAUUACUAUAAAUUCAGCCAAAAUGUAUUCCACAGCACACCCCAGUUUUCUCCAAAGAUCACAAACAGCAAAUAUGUCAAAGACAUCAGCCACAUUCAUUCUCUUCAUGGUUCUAUUCACCUUUGCAACUUGUAAGUUUUUUCUUUUUCAAAUUAAAAUAAUCAAGUAAAGUAUAGGUCGAUUGCUAAAAUCUUUUUUCAUUUUAUUUCUUUUUUUUUCCUCCUCAUCUUCGAACAAAUUAAGCCAAUUUGAUUGUCAAAUUUUUCUUUUUUUGGGGAUAUGUAGCUAUACGCAGCUAAUUUGUCCAUGGCAACAAUGGAAACAACAGAAGCGGAAACGCUGAAGACAACAAUCUCCAGAAAACUGAUGCAACAAAUCCAGUGCAGUCAAUUGCUUGUGGUUUGGACAUAGGCUGCAAUUAUUGCGGCUGUUAUGGUACAAAUGUUUGGGGUAUUGGUAUAGAAGCUGCACUUGGGUAAGGACAAACGAGGACAGUCUCCAUGCUGGGGGGUGAUAAAAAUUGUUCUAGCUAGUACUUUGUACGUUGUUUCGUCAAUAACACCUUUGUGCUUCCUCAUGGUCAUGAAGGUGAAAAAUGAUUAAUGUUUUUAAGUUAAUUUUGAAUGGGUUUGAAGUUCUAUAUACACACAUAUAUAUAUAUAUAUAUAUUGCAUUGGAAUUUUUUUCCCACUGAAUUAAUAAAAGGAGUGGCCAUCAAUUACAAUGAUUACCAUCACACUCCGAAUCCCACACUAUGGGACAUUUAAUUUUUUUUUUUAUAAUCCUUAUGUGUACAUUUUAAAAACCAAAAGGGGCUAUAUGGUAAAGCAUUAUAUCAUAUGGGGGUUAUAUGGUAAAUUAUAAAAUCAUACGGGAUUAGUGUGUCAUGUAUAUUAUAUUUAUAUAUUUGAUCAUUUCAACAAUUUUAAUUUUUAAAUAAGCGUAAUUUCAACAUUUUAAUAGGUUCCGUUACGAAUGAUUAUUUCCGUCACUUUGAUGCUUUGAUCUAAAUCAUGAUGUAUCGCUUUCGAAACUAUAGGGGAAUUAUGUACAAAAAUGCUAAAUCAUAGGGGAGUAAAGUGUAAUUUGCCAAGUAUUUUGACACGUGAUAGAAUGUGUGUAAUAUUCCUAUUUUUUUUUUUCACUUACCAUAUUACUAAAUAAUAUUAUUAGUCAAAUUCUUUUGCCACAAGAUUCAAUGAAUAUAAUCGCUAUUAAGAUCACAUUCUAUUCUUCUUAGUUUUCUUAACAAGACAUAACAUAUUUAGUAAGGCGAGUAAUUUGUGAUCAAUCAAAUUAUUUCCUUUUUCUUAUUUCAAUCAACUAAUUAACAUAUUACUUUUUUUAUAACAUUGUUUUCUCCAAAAUAAAGUUUAUAAAUUCUAGCAUGGGAUUUAUACUCAAAACACAAAGCCUAAAUCUUAUUUUCUUCUCUUACGUUACAAGGUGAGAUUGAGGGUGAGAGCAAGAAAACAUUUGCGAUAGGGGCUUGACAAGGAGAGGGAGAAGGAAGGCCGACCAUCGCGGUAAUUUGUCAAGCAAGAACUCGAACUUGUCGGCUUUAUGCGUUAUUAGUCAGUUAAGCAUCUUUCUUGAUCAAAUCUAGUGGUAUUAGUAGCGCAGCCGACCUGAAAAUCAUAGAUAUAUUAAUUCAUGGGAUGAUCUUUCUUAUGUCAUGUAGUAAAUCAAAGUUUGACUUGCCUGAGUUUUCACUUUUAGCAAACUACUGAUUACUUUAAGAACGUACUGGCAUUGAAUGUAGUGUUUACUUGGAGGCUCAAGAAUGCAUGAAUAAUAUAAAGUUGCGAACAUGAUUCCAUUGUCCUAUGUGGCUCUGUACAUGCAUUAAGAAUGGAGCCAAAUCUGUUACUGCAAUCUUUUUUAUUUAAAUCCUUUAAUACAAAUUAAUAAGAACCUUAAAUUAGUAUACCUUUCUUUAAGCAUGCUUUGAUAGAUCGUAAUUAUGCUAGAAGAACUUGUGAGUUAUUAACUGUUAGUUUAUCAAAUCUCAUAAUUCCAAUCAUGGAUGGCCGUUGUUCAAAUACAAGUUCAUAGAACUAUCAUGCUUUCUAUUUCACAUCCGCCACAAUUUAAACAGGCCAAACUAUCGUUUUAUCAUGAUUGAUUAAUAGAAUAUUAAAGACUAAGAAUGCUAAUAUUUGUUUUCGUGGCUUGAACACUGACCAUCAGUUUCAGUACCUCGCAAAUGCUUUAUAAUACCACUUUGAUUAAUAUAGACCAAUAGUCUUGAUUUAUAAUGUGAUCCAUAUGAGUUUUUCUUUCUUUCUUAUUCAACGAAUUCUAAAGCAUCGAGUUAGACUAAUAAUAGAUCUGACUAGUUACAUGAUCAAGUUAUAAGAAUAUAACUAGGGACUAUCUCUCGGUUUCUUGCAUAUUAGUAUGCUUAGGAAGAAUUCAAGAAUAAAAAACACCUUGCUAUGACUUUCAUUAAUGAUGUCACCGGUUACAUGUACUUUUGAGAAAAGUAAUAUGAUCAUUUUGAUCAUUAAAAGUAAUUAUUGUUAAUUAGCAGCCUAGUUUUAUAAUGAGUAAAUUUUAUAUAUACUGACGAUGUAUAUAUACACGAUCACGGUUGGAUAUACGAUAUAUAUGCAAAAUUAGAGUUUCAAAUUUGAAUUCAGAUUAUGUGUCAUGCAUCUAAUGGCGAAAGUAUAUACACUGUCAGUAUAUAAAGAUUAAUCUUUUUAUAAUUAUCAUGUAUUAUUCAGAAAUGUCUCAUUUAGUUUUAAGGCUAAUUUUAAACCUUUAAUGUACCAAAGUUACUACUAAUUCACAACAAUAAUUGCAUUUAUAUCAAGGUCAUUUUAUGAUCGUUAUGGCCUGCAAACGGUAACUUAAUAACGGUGGCAUCCUAGUUGGUUAAGCUAAUUAAAAGACUUCUUUAAAUGCAUGACCUUUCUAAAAUAAAGACUCAGCUAAUUUCACUAAACUUUCCUUAAUGAUUGACUUUCCAAGAAUAUGGACCUUUGUAAAUUAGGGUUCUAUCCAAAGUUAGGAAGACUUACCAAAAUAGUAACCUUCUAAGAAGGGAAACUUUCUAAAUGGGAAGCUUACGUGAAAGGGAAAUGUUAAAUAUAGAAAUUUUACAUGUUUAGGAAUGUUAAGUAUCCUAUGGUUACACAGCUCUAGGGAUGAUUUAAAAAAUAAAUGUUGAAUGAUCAAUGCAGUAAAGUAAUAGAUUUAUAUGUCAUUUCUCUAGGGUUAGAAGGCAAGGAUCAAGAACCCUAGUAGGACUUCCUAUCAAGUUAAUUGAGGUGAGUGGGAUUCACUCUGUAUUUUCAUAAAUACGCUUUUAUAAUGUUUAAUGAAGUGUUACUUUCCAUAUGAAAAUGGAACUUGUAUGAUUAUAUUUGUCGCACCUAAAUGUUUCUUACUAUGAAAGUUAUAUGUAUAUGGCAUGUUAAAUGUAAAUGUUUAUUCAAUGUAGCAUGAAUUGUUUGAGUGAAUGUGGAUGCUGAUGUAAUGGCUCUAAAGGUCACGGCAUAAUCUAUAGGGGUUAUUGUCUUAGAAAUAUCAAUAUAAAAUAAAGUAAAUUGCAAUAAUGGUCAAAGUGUACUCCGAAUGUUCAUUUGACUUCCCGUUCUAGUGAAGUUAAUCACUAGACUGAGUACUCAGCGUCGUUAAAGGUGUGUAACUGUUAAGAGUCGAUAAAUGUUUAAUGAAUAUUUAUAUGUUAUACAAAUGUGCAAAGAAUGGUUUAUCUUAGUGUAAUUUGUGUGCUUCUGUAUACACUUAUUUGCAAAUGUAUGAAUAUAUAUAUAUAUAUAUAUGGAAAAAUCGUUCAAAACAUCCAUCACAUUUAAUAAAAUAACUUUUUUCGUCCCUUACUUUUAAAAAUAUAAUUUUACGUCCCUUAUAAAUUCACUUUGAUCAACUUUGGUCCCUACCUAGAUUUCUGACUAGUUUUUAGUCGAAAUCCAUCAUGUGCCUUACACGUGAUUAUGUUUUAGAGGUAAAAUUGUCAAAUCAAAAUUUACAUAAUCUGAUCCAUAGUUCCUCACAUUUCACAAAAUGAAUUUUUUUUGUCCCUCACAUUUCACAAAAUGAAUUUUUCAUCCCUCACAUUUCAUAAAAUGAAUUUUUCAUCCCUUAUUGACAGUGUGCAUGAAUAGUUUUUUUAAUCCAUGUAUAUAUCUAUUUGAUUUCACCUGAAUAGUACGAAUAGCAUAUAAUAUAUCUUUAUUUGAUUUCACCUAAACAGGUUAAUUGUAAUUGUACACUUGCUAUUCAAUAGAUAUAUACAUGGGUUUAAAACUAACAAUUUUAUUUUAAACCCAUGCAUAUAUCUAUUUGAUUUCACGAUGUGAAUUUGUUCAAUAUUUGUGGUCUUUUCUCUUUUGGUAGCAAUUCAUUUAUUGAGUUGUAUAAUAAAAUCAUCUAAUUAAUGGGUCCUAACUCGAAUUCUAUAGUCAUGCUAACGAAUUGCAGUUUAAAUCUAAAAUUUUUACUCGUUACAUUUAAGACUAACAGUUGAAUUACUUGCCUUAUAAUUGUCUUAAAAUUUGAAAGUGCCAAUUACAUACUUUUUUUGUCAUACUUUUCGUUUGAUUAUUUUUUGUCCAAAUUUAAUUUCAUAUAAACACUCGACAAUGUCCAAAUUAUUUGAUUUCGUCUAAAUAGGCUAAUUGUAGUUAUACACAUGUUAUUUGUAUUACUUAGGUAAAAUCAAAUAAAUACAUACGUGAAUUUUAAAAAAUUAUUUAUACACAUGAUCAAUGAGGGAUGAAAAAAUUCAUUUUGUAAAAUAUGAGGAAUAAAAGAGUUUAUUUUGUGAAAUUUGAGGGACGAAAAAAUUCAUUUUGUAAAAUAUGAAGGACUAUGGAUUGAAUUGUGUAAAAUUGAUUUGACAAUUUUGCCCUUAAAAAAUGAUCACAUGCAAGACACAUGAUGGAUUCCGACAAAAAUUAGUUGAAAACCUAGGUGGGGACCAAAUUUGAUCAAUGUGAAUUUGUAAGGGAUAUAAAAUUAUACUUUUAAAAGUGAAGGACGAAAAAAUCAUUUUACAAAAUGUGAGGGACGUUUUGAACGAUUUUCCCUAUAUAUUAUAUAUGUAUGUAUGCAUGUAUGUAACACACUUGAUCUAACAAGAGUGUUAUGUUUUACUCACUGAGUAUAGUGAUGCUUAUCCCAAGACUUUAAUAUUUUUAUACAGAGGAUGAGUAUGUUUAUGCGUUUGUUGGGGCUGAUGGUGAUUGGAAUUGGUAGAGUCAGAUUACUAUUAGAAAAUUCGAAUCGCAUUUGAUGGUGUUGUUUACUAUUUACUACUUCUGCAAUGAAGAUGGGGAAUUGGGGCUUACCAAUAUGGCAAAAGCAAUUGUAUGAGAAUAUCCAUAAUAGGACCGCUUCUCAUAGUUUUCAAUAAUUAGAACUUGUUUGCAUGUUUGGCAUUUGCAUGUGCAUGAUUAAAUCGCAAUUAACCAUUCAAAAUAUUUGUCUACCAAUUCUCUCAAAACAAUUACUUGAAAUCUCUUACACUUAACCUUCAAUUAGAUGCACAACGGUAUGUGCAGAAAAUAUUUGAUUCGUAGUACGCUGAAUAAAAUUUACAGUGAAGUUCUACACGUUGUUAAUUAUGACAAACUUCAUUUUAUCAUGGAAGUCAUGAUCAUAUGUAGAAGCGAAGGAGAUGGCAAAAUCUCUACUUCAUUCUUACAAAAUGCUUAUGAAUCAUACCAAAAACUAAAUAUAACAUGAAGUAAGAAACUCAAGAUUGGUGUCUAAGGUUGUUUAUCACAUCCUUUGAGCUUGCGAGAUGUAAAAUUGACAGAUCACUUGGAGAUCAUAUAUUCUAGCUGAAGAACUUAUGCAUCUAUCAGUUUUAGGACACGAUUACUGAGAUUAACAUACGAAAUAUGAGAGAAAAAGAGGAAAUCAUUUCAUAUUUCCACUGAGGACAUCCGAAUGGAAAAUCAAGGACUAUACCUCCUUGAUGAGCUUCCUUGGGAGAUUGAAUCUUCAUGGCGCAUCCGGUGUUGCUCCAAUCUGUCAGACAGGUUUCGCAAGUCAGGAGGCUGAUGACUUCCAUCCUCCCUUGGUGUGUAAUAAACAGAAGGUGCUUCUUCCCAGAUGAAAUAACACCUCUUCUUUAGCUGCCCUUUAACUUCAUCAGGUAACCGACCCCACCAGCGUUCUUGGCAUUCAAUCUUUCUUAAAUGCUUUGCAUUGUACAUCCCUCUUGACCAAGUAUUUAGCUUGGAGCAAUCAAUGAUCUCUAUUUUCUGUAAGGAACGCCAAUCUAGUGAGUCAUUCUUACAUAUGCUUACCAGAAGUGGAAGAUUCACGAGCUCCAGAAUCUCCAAUUUUGGCAGGAAGCCAGUAAGGUUGGGCAAUCCUCCAUUGGGCGGCUGUAUCUCCCCGGUUUCUAUCACCUCUUCAAUCCCCAAACAAUCUUGAAUCUUCAGAUGCUUGAGAUUCUCCAAAUUUUUAACCAUUCAAGUGAAAUAAGCUUCUUGAACUUGUGACAUUCAAGAACUAUUAUGCUUGUCAAUUUGGAGAAGCUUUGGGUACCGACAGAACCAUCCAAUAUGCAGCACAAACUCUUGAGGUUAACCAGAUGUAGCUUCUCAAGGAAUGGAAAUACAAUCCUAGCAGCAUCAGAGCCACAGCUGAUGAUGGAGCUGAUCUGAUCACAGCCUUCUACUACACAAACUGCCAACGACCUCAUACAGUCAAUUCCAAUGUCUGAUAAACUUUUAGUGUCUUGGUUGCCAAUCAAUUCAAAAGCACUGGACCUUCUGAGAACCUUUUGAAUUGCUUCACAACAGACAUUUUCACCUGCAGAAAAUCUCAGGUGCCGUUCAGCUGGUCCUCUAGAACUAUGUAACCCCUUGUUAUGGUUUUCCCCAUUUGAGCCAACUAUGAUUCUGAAUGCUCUUAAACCGUUAUCUUGCCAAUAUCUCCUGGAGCAACUUUCGUCUAUGAAAGUAGUGAGGAAUUCUACUUUUGGGAAGUAGAUGAAAAGUGUAGUCAGACUUUCUAAGUUUGUUAUCUCUUUGGCAACACUUGUGACAAUGUCAUUCCAGCUUUGUUCUCUAGGAUCGACAAUGAUGGUCAAUUCUUCAAGAUGACAAAGUAGGCCAAUCACAUUAUGGGAAUAAUCCGUCGUGGCUGAUUAUCCUCUUUGUUAUGAUCCCCAUUAGACCUUGCUAUGAGAGGAUCGUAAACAAAGGAAACUCUCAGGCACCUCAGGCUUACUAACUGUGCAACUUCAGUUGGCAAGCUCUGCAGGCCUGUGUCUCGGAUGUCAAGAAUCUCGAGAUUGGUAAGUUUUCCAAGAUGUUCGGGUAGUGAAACCAAAUCCCGGCACUCAUUGAGAUACAAGGAUUUCAGUUCAACUAACUUGGUGAUAGAUGAUGGUAGUGAUUCUAUUUUGGUGUGAUGGAGAUCAAGAACUCUGAGCUGCACCAUGGAAGCAAAAAAAGAAUCAUCAAUUGUGUCCAGCUCUUCAUUUCUCUGGAGCAAUAGUGUUGUGGUAGUCGGACACUCAGGGCAUUCUGGCAAGGACUUGAAUCCGUUGCACAUUAGCGAGAUCCUUUUCGCGCCUAUCCAAUGUUCCUUUUCUGGUGGAUUAAACAAUUUUUCUUCUCCUCUCACAAGUAAGCUGCUGCUACUGCUGCCUUCUUAUUGUGGGUAGGUAAAUGUCAGUGCAAUCUUCCUAAAAGGAGUAGGCAUGGUGAGAAAAUUUGACCUGGAACACCACUCAAAUAGACAAGCUUUUGUAAGUGCUUGCAGGAUUUUGUGUCCUCUGUCUCGAAAUAGCCUUAAUUGUUGGACAUUAGUGUCUGCUCCAGGUAGCUCAGUGGCAGAAAUAAAUUGCUCAGAUAUCCAACAUUCGGUUAAGUAAUCCUUGUCAAUUUCAUAAUCUGGUGGAAAUAAUGCCCCGUAAAGUAAGCACUUCCUGUAAUCAUUCCCACGUAGAUUCUUGUAAGAGAACUCAAAAGCCUUGAUGAGUUCCUCAAAUUGAUCACCAAAGUUCUUCGGAGAUUGCAAGUCCGUCAAUGUAUCAUACCAAAUGGCCUCCGGCUGAUCUUUUAAACUUCUGGCAAUAGUUUUGAUUGCAAGUGGGAGACCACCUAGUUGUUUGAGUAUUUGCUCUUUUAUUCCUUUAAAGUGCGGAUGAUCUGCAAUGUCACCCACAGUUUCCUUGAACAAUUCCUCUGCAUCACCAUCAGACAACUUGCUCACUUUGAAUACUCUAUGAAUAUCCAUUGCAGCACAGUCAGGUUUGUCACGGGAUGCAACAAUUACCUUUCCCUUGUGCUUGUGAUGAAUUCCCACUUCAUUGAGAUCAAUAUCUCCAGGACAUUGAUCGAGAAGCAAUAAAUAGUCAAGUUUCUCCAGGGCCAUGGAUAUUUUGUGUGCAACAUGUGCUGUCCUGUCCAUGUGUUGAACCUCUAGCUUUAACCUUGCCAAAAUAUCUGAUUGAAUGUUCUUGACAGCACCUUCUUUCUGAACUUUCACCCAUAUAAUGGGAUUGAGUUUACCCAGUUGGUAUGCUUUGUCAUUCAGGUGCAUUAAGAUACGGGUUUUUCCUACUCCUGCCAUUCCCCAUAUGCCAAUCCUCCUCACCUCUUCAUCAUCCAGCCACUUCAGCAGCUCUUCUACCGUCUCAGACAUUGAUAUAGGGAUAUGAUCUCCAUCUCCACCAAGCAUUAUUUCCCCUGGCUCGAAUUGACAGCACCUUCUUUCUGAACUUUCACCCAUAUAAUGGGAUUGAGUUUACCCAGUUGGUAUGCUUUGUCAUUCAGGUGCAUUAAGAUACGGGUUUUUCCUACUCCUGCCAUUCCCCAUAUGCCAAUCCUCCUCACCUCUUCAUCAUCCAGCCACUUCAGCAGCUCUUCUACCGUCUCAGACAUUGAUAUAGGGAUAUGAUCUCCAUCUCCACCAAGCAUUAUUUCCCCUGGCUCGAAUUGGCUCCCUCAAUGCAUUCUGCAAGUCAAUGUUGUCUCUUAACUCUUUCAGCUCAUCCGUUUUCUCCUUUAGAUCUUCGCUGAGCUUCAUAAGCUUAUAGAAUGGCCACAUCCCGCAAAGGCACUUAUGGAUAUGAAGAUAUUUGUUUUUCAGUUCUUGGACUUCUCUUUCCCUCUCCUUUACCUGCUCAAGCCAAGUAUUGGCUAUUUCGGUUGGUUCCAUGUCAAUACUGUUCCUCGCAAUUGCUUCCUCCAAUGUUGAUUUGGUAGCACCAAGCGAUUUCUCUUCGUCUUCGAGCUUAUCCAAGUUCUGCUUAAUCUUCUUCACUUUAUCAUAUUUGUCUUUCAAACACGUGCUUGCAUCUUUAAUGGCUUGAACACCAGGCGCUAUUACGGCCCCAAUAAUGUUUGGUAAACAGGACGGCAUCCUGAAAAUUAAUUGUUAAAGAGAGAAUUCAAUUUUGAGUUAGGCAUGUAUAAAUUUUAAGUUGAAAUAGCACAUAAUGGAUGUCAGAAAUUUCUAAUGUGCUUAUUAAACCUGUCAAAUCUUUUAUGGAACCAAAAUAAUCCCAUUUAAAUAGUUUCAAAAUUUUCGAAGCUAAUUUCUCUUAAGUUGGAAAUUUAGUACACCAAGAUAACUCCAUCAGAAGAAAGACGUCACUUACAGCUCUGGUUCAACAAUUCCUGAUGACUAACAAUAUCACAUACAACUCGGAAAAAAAAAAAAAAAAGAAAGUUUGUUUCGAAGAUGCUAAUAAGAAUGAGAAUUCUAAUUUCAUUGGGUGACUGUAUAAAUCCAGUUUAUUUAACUCUUUUUUUUUUUUUUUCAUUUCUAGCCUACAGUGGAAAGAAAAAUAUACAUGUCCAAAACCCACAAUAUUGAGCAUGUGCCUACAGUUCCACUAUCUUUAACUUCCUCUACAUGCCAAUCGGUCUUUCUAGCAGUGGAAACAAAGGGUUUGGGAUAGGUACACAGUUGCGGUUUUGAUUAGAGGUGCCAAAAUGGGCGAUUUGGGCGGAUGGGCGAUUUGGGCGGGUUUAGGUUGGGUAAAAUGGAUAAUAGGUAUAAGUGAGUGAACCCAUUUAUACAAUUUAAUUAGAUAGGUAUAAAUGGGUAAAUCAAAAAAUAAAUUGGGCAACUCAAUUACCAUUAUAACCUAUUUAUUUUAACUUUUGUAAAUUCAUUUUUACAAACUAAGUUAUCAAUUUAUAUCAUCCUUUGCACCCAUCAUUAGUUUUAUAAUAUUUACUUAUAAUGCUCAAUAAGCCUAAUUAUUAAUUUUUUUUUUCAUCCGUACUCUAUGUCGCAAAUUUACAUACUAUUUAAUAAUUAAACAAUAAGAAUAUAAAAAUUUGAACUAAGUACUAUAAAAGGUAAUAUAAAAACUUAAUCCAAAAAUUUUGAAUCUCUAGCAUUUUUUUGUGUGUAAAUUUAAAAUUUCAUUUGGAAAAGUAAGAAAAGAGGAUAAAACUUGUCAUAAAUUGGUAAUGUUGAGAAAUGAGCAAGCUAACAAACUAAGAGAAAAUAAAAUGAUACGAUAAACCACAAAUAAUAAUAAAAUGAAACAAAAGUAGUUAAUAUCAUGGCAAAAUGAAAAAUUUGAAAAAAAAAAUGGGUGGGGGGAAGAGAAGAGGUUUGGAGGAAAACAAUUCUAAAUGGGUUAAUUGGAUUUGAUGGGUAUACCCAUAUGUAAAAAUUUAAGAUACCCAUACCCAUCUAUUCAUGGACGGGUACGGGCAAAUUUAAUUAAAUGAGUUUGUUUGACAGCUAUAGUUUUGAUGUAGUUGUAUGAAUGUUAUAUUAUUUAAUGUAGGCUAAUAUUACUUUGUUGUACACAUAGAUUUUGUUCAUAUACACUAACUUAAUAUACGAAUACAAUCACAACUGUGAACAUGUUAUCAAUUUCUGAAAGAAUUACAGCAAACGCACCAUUUGUAUGAAAAUUCUGCUCCAAUCGCGUAGCUGAACAAGUACUGAAUAGAAGGUGGGACCAGCAAUGGCACUAAAGAGAAUUUUUGGGUGCCAACUAUGCCAAAUUAAAUUGAAAGGGACUUAAAUCUGCGCCUGUCCACCUUAAGAAAAUAGUUUGAUGGAUUUGAUGAUCUAGAGAUUCUACACCCUCCACCUUCAGUUCAUACGUUCAGUGAACUGAUGAUCAUACCAUUAGUGAAUUGAUGAUCUCAUAAAACUUGUAACUUUAGUAUGUAGAAAUUUAGCUUUUCUUGAUUUUAUGUGUGACAUAAUUUUAGAAGAAACCAAAAAGGAAGAUAUGACAGUUUUUACAGGUUAGUGGAAGUAUCGGAUACGGGACAGGAACGAUUGUCAGUGACAACCGUUCCUGAAGGUUCACGGUCACGAUGUGGCUUCAAAAUUUGUGUGGCUCAGAUUACACCAUGUAACUCGAUUUUCACGCCAUGUGUGGGGCUCACAAAAAAGUGUUGUAAAAUUACUUUGUGUUCAAAGUAAGUUACAUCGUGUGCAAUGAAAGUUACGCGCUCUGAAAAAUGAAUACAACCGGCACAAACGGUUGCACCCCGUAUCCGUAAGUAUCCGAACUUUCUGUUUCUUCACUCGCGAUGUAAUAACACUACUGUGUACGGACAACUUGACGACAACUAGUAAUAUGACAAAAGUCAUUCAAGAAAGAAACAAACAUUCCUAUGGAACAAGUUAUUGACUUUGAGGGCUAGCAAUGAUUAAGGUUUCUCAGAACAGGGAAAAAAAAGAAUAUUAGCAAAUUUGGUCAACAUGACGAACAAAAGAAUUCGAGUACUACAACUCAUCUUCUAUGUCUUGAACAAAUACUAAAAUGCUUGAGGAUUAUGCAUACCAUACAAGAAGUUAUGAUCAAAGCAGCAGUAAUCAAUCAAGGGGACAAAGUGAUUAUAUAGACCACUUUCAAGUAGAAGCAACAGGGAGCAGAAUUUCAUGGCUCUAUUUGAUGACAAAGAGAUUUGCAUGAAGCAGUUGUAAUAACCAAAAUGCAAAAGAAAACACCAGCUUUGAGGUUCAAAGAUCGAAUGCACCUUGACUGCGAGCGGAGAGACAGUUCUGAUGAUCGGAUGGAGAAAAAUGGAUUUUUCUGUUCCGCCCUUGGAGGAUUUCUUCUAGGAAAGGAGAAGAGAGCAAGAGAGAGACUUUGAAUUAGUAAAAGUCGUCUUCAAUUAUUGUGCCAACUCUUCGAGAGAAUAAGAUUGGUAUUAGAAUUCUAGGCUUUAAUUUCAUCUUUGGUAAAACUAGAGUCAGUAGGUGGAUUCUUACAGGAUUUUAUGUUUAAAAAGAGCGAGUUAUCGAGAUUUCUGUGUUAUUAUUGGAUGGUUAUUUAGAUCAAAGAGACGAUUGCAAAGUUGUUCCCUCUCCGAUGACCUGUGCGCCUAAGUAGUCUCCAAAAUUUUGGCCUUCACAAAUGUGGUUCCCAAUGUUUCGAGUUUUGGACAAAUUUUGGAAAUUAAUAAAAUAAUUUUUUUCAGAAUGACUAACAUCAAAAUUAAAUCAACGUUAGUAAAAAAAUUUUGACUUUGUAUUUUAUUUCUUUAAUGUUCAGUGUUUCGAUCAAUAUAGUCCAUUAAAUUUCAAAUAAUGAUAUUGAAAGUUUUAAAGAUGAAGAUGUGAAGAAAUUGAAUUGAGUCACAUGUUAAACUAAGAAUUCUAAUAAUGAAAAAUUAAAACGAGCAUUAAAUAUCUUUUCCUUAUAUUUUUCCCGUCAUAUGCACUGGUGUUUGUGUGAAAUUUUUGUGGGUCAAGAAAAAUAAAUACAUUUGGAUUGUAUUGAAUGGAUAAUACUAAAUUAAUAAUUAAAUAUAAAGAUGGUUAAAUUACUACUUUGUAUCAUCUUUUAUUUUCUAUUUUUUUCCCCUUGAACAAGUAUUUUUAUUCCUGUUGUUAUUUAAGAUGAUAAAAUAGUUAUUUAAAUCCCUAAACGUUUUGCUUCAAAUAUAACACGAAAGCUUUUUAUUAUUAGAAUUCCUGGUUGUGUAUUUUCAAAAGAAAAAAUCGUUCAAAACGUCCCUCACAUUUUACGAAAUCACUUUUGUCGUCCUUCACUUUUAAAAGUGUAAUUUUACAUCCCUUAUAAAUUCACAUUGAUCAAAUUUGGUCCCUAACCUAGGUUUCCGACCAGUUUUUCCGGAAUUCACCAUGUGUUUUGCAUGUGAUCGUUUUUUAGAGGCAAAAUUGUCAAAUCAAAUUUUACAUAAUCCAAUUCAUAGUCUCUCACAUUUCAUAAAAUGAAUUGUGUUGUCCUUACAUUUUACAAAAUAAAUUUUUUAUCCCUCACAUUUCACAAAAAUGAAUUUUUUUCAUCCCUCAUUGACUAUGUGUAUAAAUAGCAUUUUGGGAUAAUUUCAGAUACCUCCCCUGAGGUUUCUGACAGUCUCACUCUCCUCCCUUGUGGUUUCAAAAAUAUCACAAACCUCCCCUGUCAGAAUUUAGGUCCCAUUUCUUACAUCAUCAUGGCCAAAAAGACUUAAAUACCCUCACAAGUCAGCUAAUAUUUCGUGAUUAUCAGGACAAAUACAUUCCAACUCACGUAAUUAUUUUUUUCUGUGCUAUAUCUAAUCUCCCUUAUAUAUAUAUAUAUAUAUAUAUAUAUAUAUAUAUAUAUAUAUAUAUAUAUAUAUAUAUAUAUAUAUAUAUAUAUAUAUAUAUAUUGUUAAAUAACUAACACCUAACAUGAUAUAUAUUUUUUUAACACCUAACAAUUCCAAAUUUAUGCGUACCAUUACACUACUUUUAAUAGAUAUACAUGGUCAAGUAACUAACAUCUAACGUAAUAUAUAUAUUUGUAAACUGAUUAUACCUCAUAAAUCACCCCGUGUAAGGUAUUUAUAAGCAAAUUAGUAUUAGUCAUAUAGAUAAAAUUACAUACCCACUGCAGCUUGUAAGGAGAUGCAUAAGUGGGUCAAAGUACCAAUAACCAUUCCAAAUGUAUACAUACCAUUGCACUAAGCAUAUUGUUGCGAUGACUAAUUGCAAUAUGCAUGUGAACAAAUAACUGUAUGUUCAACAAUUUCUAUGCAUCGUACUUGGUCGAUAACACGGUGUACAUUAUUUCAAUCAGAUUGUACAUUCACUAAGUAUUUAUAUACAUGCUACUUAUUGAAGUAAACUAUCUCUUCACUAAAUAUUUAAUGCACUCUCAUAAGCACUAAUAGUUGAUUUAAUACCCCUUUUUUCUAAUUUAUUUUUUAUUUUUAUUAGUUUUCAUUAUUUCACUAAUAUAACUUGUACACUUACCUCAUGGGCAUUUAUGGAAACAAAAUUCCCUCUCUUUCCUGAAAACACUUUUUUAUGUUCACUUUUGACAUCAUGGGCUGAUUUUGUUACAAAAUUCUAAACCUCAAGGGAGAUUUGUGAUAUUUUUGAAACCACAGGGGAGGAGAGUGAGACUGUCAGAAACCUCAGGAGAGGUUUCUGAAAUUAUCCCUAGCAUUUUUUUAAACCCAUAUAUAUAUAUAUAUAUAUAUAUAUAUCUAUUUGAUUUCACCUGAACAGUACGAAUAGCAUGUAAUAUAUUUGUGGUUGAUUUCACCUAAUUAAAUAGGCUAAUUAUAGUUAUACACAUGCUAUUCAAUAGAUAUAUAUAUAUGGGUUUAAAACUAACGAUUUUGUUUUAAACCCAUGUAUAUAUCUAUUUGAUUUCACCAUAUGAACCUAUUUAAUAUUUGUGGCCUUUUCUCUGUUAGUAAUAAUUCAGUUAUUGAGUUGUACAAAAAGGUCAUCUAAUUAAUGGGUUCUAAUUCAAAUUCUAUAAUCAUGCUAACAAAUUGUAGUUUAAAUCUGAAGUUUGUAGUCACCACCUUUAAGACUAACUGUUGUAUUACUUCUAUCCAAAUUUAAUUCGAUAUAAACACUUGAUGAUAUUUAGGAUUAAUGUAUUUUUUGUAUUCACUUUCCGAGUAAAAAGAAAUGAACAUGAGUGAAAAACUAAUAAUUUUUUUUAAACCUAUGUAUAUAUCUAUUUGAUUUCACCUGAACAAUACAAAUAGCAUAUAAUAUAUCUCUAUUUGAUUCGCUAGAACAGGCAAAAUCAAAUAGAAAUAUAUUACAUGCCAUUCAUACUAUUUCGGUGAAAUCAAAUAGAUAUAUACAUGGGUUUAAAAAAAACUAUUCAUACAUAUGAUCAACGAGGGAUAAAAAUAUUCAUUUUGUAAAAUGUGAGGAAUGCAAAAAUUCAUUUUGUGAAAUGUGAGAAAUGAAAAAAUUCAUUUUAUGAAAUGUGAGGGACUACGGAUCGAAUUAUGUAAAUUUUGAUUUGACAAUUUUAUCUUUCAAAAAUGAUCACGUGCAAGAGAUGCAGUGGAUUCCGAGAAAAAACUAGUCAAAAACUUAGGUAGGGACUAAAUUUGACAAAUUUGCAUUUGUAAGGGAUUUAAAAUUACACUUUUAAAAGUGAUUGAUGAAAAAAGUCAUUUUGCAAAAUGUGAGGGAUGUUUUGAACGAUUUUUCCUUUCAAAAUAUAUACUUUUCGUUGUAUUAAAAAGAAAGAUCGGAAGAAUAUGAAAUCAAACAAAUAGUUUGAUUAUUUUCGUUUCGAGUAUAAUCUAAAUGAAAGAAAUUAGCAUUAACAAGAAAAGAAAGGAGUCAACAGUUCCCGUUAUUAGCAUUAGUUAGGGCAAAUUAUCCGUUUGGCCUUUGAACUUUUAGUUUGGGUAAAAUUAAGCCUCGAACUAUUUGUAGUCAAUUUUCAGCUCUUGAACUUGUAAAAUUGGGAACCCGUAGCCCUUUUGGCCAAUUUAUUCGGUUUUGCAACCGGAAAAGCCAAAUCAACGAAUCACGAAUUUGCAGCAUCACCACAGUACAUUCACCCCCAUUUGCACCAUCCCAGCAAAGACUCCACCACUUUUUUUCUCUUUAAGCAUCAUUAUUACAGCAACCAACCAACUCACCACAAGUACCUUUGUAAGAAACUUAUUCAACCAUUUCUACUACCGUAGAUGCUUCUCUGUUUCUCUUAAUUUUGCCUUCAACUUAGCAGCUUUUGCCUCGGAUCUUGAUGUUGCAGCUUCAAAUUCCUUUUUUUGUUUUUGUGUUGUAUUGAUCCUCCUUAAAAGGCUCCGUAUCAACUCAAUAGAAUGGCGACACAUCUCCUCGUCAAUCCAAUCCCAAUACCCAUAACCAUCAACUAAUUGUGAGCAAACAACGUACCUUCUCCUUGGGUUUCUAUCAAUCCACGAAAUAAUCAUCUUUGUGACUUUACCGCAGGGACAAAUAGGAAGCAGAGAGCUACGAAAUUUGCGCAUUUUUGCUUGUUUCGUGCACACUUCUCUUCCUUCCCUCUGCAUUUCGUUUGUUGAGAUCUAUUAGCGAUUUGGGUUGGGGAAAGGGAAGAAGAUGGAGUUGUUCACUUUUUGCUUAUUUUUAUGUGGACAAAAAGGCCCUUCUUUAAAGCAUAUUGCCAUUCGUGUGAUUUGCUUUCUGGUUGUAAAAUUGGAUAAACUAGCUAAAAGGGUCAUGGGUUCCAAAUUUUACAAGUUUGAGGGCUAAAAGUUAACUACAAAUAGUUAGAGGGUUUAAUUUUACCUAAACUAAAAGUUCAAGGGCCAAAUAGAUAAUUUGCCAUGUUAGUUAUUAUCACGUGAAUGAAUGUGUUAAGCUAUACUCUGCGAGUUUGAUUAGUUAUGUAAUCAUCGUAUCAUGAUGAGUCAAUUACUAAAAACGAAUGGUCAUAAACUGACAAAAUUAAUAGUUACAAAAUAUAAAGAAUGAGCUAGAGAGAUUAUUCGAAGUCUCUAAAUAUUUAGGGAGGAGAAAGAAGCGACAUGACAAAAUGAAGGAGAACACAUACUUGCACACAUAAAUAAAUGAAUAUAUAUAUAUAUAAAUGUAUAUGUAUAUGAUUGUACGUGUGCGCACACACACACAUAAAUACAUACAUAUAUAUAUAUGUACAUAUGCACAUAUAUAUACAUAUGUAUGUAUGUAUGUAUGUAUGUGGAUGUGUGCGUGUAUAUAUAUACAUAUAUGUAUAUAUGUAUAUAUUUGUACGUGUGAUAUAUAUAUAUGUACAUUUUGAGAAACUUGAAGUACAAAAACUUGUAUAUGUUUGUACGUGCGCGCAUACGCACACACACAUAUAUAUAUGUACAUACGCACAUAUAUAUAUAUACAUAUGUAUGUAUACACACACAUAUAUGUAUGUAUGUAUGUGGACGUGUGUGUGUAUAUAUAUACAUACAUAUAUUUAUAUAUACAUAUAUAUAUGUAUAUGUAUAUGUUUGUACGUGUGCACACACGCACACAAAUAAACAUAUGUAUGUAUACACACACAUGUAUGUAUGUAUGUAUGUGGAUGUGUGUGUAUAUAUAUAUGCAUACAUAUAUUUAUAUAUACAUAUAUACAUACACACACACACACACAUAUAUAUGUAUGUAUGUAUGUAUAUAUGCUUGGACCAUGUUCAAGACCUGAGCCGCCAUAUUGUGGGACCUUUCUACCAAAAUAUUAGAAUUGCUUAAUUCCAUAGGGAAUUUCACCAAUUUGGUCCCUAAACAUUUUCACUUAAAUCAAUUUCGCCCUUCAUUAAAUAUUUUAUCUAAUUUAGUCCCUGAACUAGUUUUUUACUUUCAAUGUAGGACUUUUUACUACAUUUUACUCAAUUUGCGUGGACCAAAGGGUAUAAUUGUCAUACUAGAUUAAUCUCCUGCAAUUAUCCACUGAAACGGAAUAGAUAUCAUUACAAAAAGGAACGAGCAUCUGGUUUGAAGACAUUAGGGCUCAUUUUUAGUUGCCCAAUUGUAUCUGCAAAGGAGCACAUGUAAGAUGCAUCAAGGGAAAAAGUAUUUCAAUGGAGCAUCAAGUUCAUGCAGCUUCCAACACUCAAAUCAUAAGGAUAAGGAAAGUGAAAAUUUAUCAGGGGUGAAAAGAGAGAAGGUAGGUCAGUACAAUGGAUUUGAGAGCGUGUUUUGUGAUUGUAAUGAACCAUGUCGAAUUGCUACUUCGUGGACAUUGUCAAAUCCAGGAAGAAGAUUCCACGGCUACAAGAAUUAUAAGGUAUUUUUUCUAUUUUGUUAAUAUAUUUCAGGGGAAUUAAUUUUUUAAUUUUGGUAGUAUAAUCGGAUAUGGGUAUUUAGUAGUAAUUUGUGCUUUAGAUUAACUUGCAAUAAUAGGUAAUCUAAUUGGGGUAUUGAUAUUGAUUAUAGUCACCGAAGGCUUGCAAGUACUUUUUGUGGUAUGAUCCACCAAUGCCGGAGAUGACAAAAAAUACAAUGGCAAAACUUUUGAAGGAACUAAGGAAAGCUGAACAAGAGAACCAGUUCAUGAAGAUUGAACUUGCAAGGUUGAAAGAAGAGAAGAAAAUGAUGAAGGCUGAAAUUUGAAAGUUAAGAGAUAAGAGCAAGUUGCUAGUUUUUGUUGCUGUUUGUUGUGGUUGCUUGUUAAUUGUUGUGCUUGUUGGCAACGAGAAAAGAGGACAUGCUAAACAAGACUUGGGGCUCCAAAUGUUAGUUUAGAUGAAUUAGAGAAAUGCAUGUAGUUGCUGUUAGCCUUUUGUUGACGAAGUUGUAAGGUGGCUAUGGUUGGCCUUAAUUUUGUUUGACUAUGAUUUGGUUUUGGCCAACUUUGAAAAUUUGGCAAAAUUCACACAAUGCGAACUAGCCUCUCAGAUUUGAAACUCAAUUAGCGUUGAAAUCAAAGUUUAAAACAAAAUAAGUAGAACAAGAAUCGGAGUUUUGAGCACCAUGAUAUGGUAGCUCAAAGUUGCUGCAAAAGUGAAAUUGUUAAGCAAAUUCCAGGUUUAAAUCACGUAUUUCGGGACUUUGUUUGAGCUUCAAAAUGGACUCGGAAUGGUACCAAAUUUGGUAUGAUUAUACUACCAUAUAAGGGCUAUUCCUCUGUCAAAUUUCAUAGAAAACUACAUAUGGAAAGUUGGUUAACAAGAUCAUUAAAGCUCCACGACUUUCAAAACAAAAUUGCCUUGGGGUUCCGUUUUUCCGUUUUAAAAAAAAAACGGUUGGCCAACAAAAUGUCUCAAACAUGGUCCAUUUGUGCAAAAAAUGUCUAAUAAACAUCCAAGAUACAUUUGGUAGGUGAUCAACACCAAGAAUUUCUAAACAACAAGUCCCAAUCAAAAUUUAAGCAUCCAACUAGCCAAAAGAGGGUUUUUCAUCACUAAGUCAGUUUCGGAUUUUGGCCAUAACUCACUCAAUUCAACUUGGAAUUGAGCGUGAUUGGUGAUAUUGAAAACUACAUUCAUAGGGAUACAAUUUUUUAGAAGAAAUCGUUUUAAAAAUCUGUCCACAACUAGCUCAUAUUUGAGCAUCAAGUCGCAGCUCAUAACAGGGCUUCCAGUACAAAUGUGAAACAGGACAGGCAGGUUCAGACGAUUGGUAUGGUUCACUCAGGUGGAAUCAUGGCAUGCAUUUUACACCGUUGGAAAACUGGAAAUGUCUAGUUUCUAAUGCCACAAACGGCACUCGAUUUUGACAUUGAAGCAAAGAUUUAUAGCCUAAACAAUAUCACUGCCAAAGUAAUACUGGACACAAUUCCAGUUUUGGGAAAUUUUCGAAAUCUCAACAUUUGGCCAACCAAAUCACGUAAUUUUUUGUGAAAACCUUCCACACUGUCCACACAACAUAUAUACAGCAUAAACAAGUUAAUUGAACUUUGAAAAAAUGCUUUAAGGGUCACGGAAUUGACAGGGACAGAAACAACAAAAUUCCCCUCUUCACUUUCUUUGAGUUUCCAUCCACAAUAUCAUUUAUUUCUACUAAAUUAAGCACUAAUCCAACACUAAUAACAUCAAAACUCAUUAAAUCAGUCCAUCAUAGUGGGAGUUCAUAGAGCCCACUCACCAAGUUUCUAACAAUUCAAAGCUACCCAUGAGAAUCCAAGAGCUCAUGAGUGCAAUACUACUUCCAUAAAUUAAGAUUCAAGAGGUUGAUCGUUGAUUACCUUCUUAGAUGACUAAAGAAGAAAAUUUCUGUCCUUUGAAGCUCAAGAAAACCAUGCAAAUGAAGCCCCUUUCCUAGCUUGAGUUGAUCUUCAAGUGGUUUGCAAGGUGUGUGUAAAUUUUGAGGUGAUUUGAGUGAGAAAUAGAGCAAGAAAUGGAAGAGCUUUAGGUUGUCUUCUUCCUUGGGUUGGCCGGCUGUCUUAGAGCAAGAGAGAGGGAGUGAAAUCUAAUGUUAUUGGCUUCUAAAGGAAGCUUAUAACUUGUGGCCCAAACUUGCUCAAGGUUAUCCACUAAAAUAAUGCACGAGCGCGCGUGUUUCGUGCUCGUUUUCUCUCAAGUUUAUUUCACUAGUGCACUAAACCUCUAAUACACUUUCAUUCAUAUUAUUAUUAUUCACUCUUAAUAGUCCAAAAAUAAAGGUCUUAAGCCCCUCGAUUAAUCGCGUACGCGAAAAACGCGUACCUCCGAUUUGUGCGCGAUAAAGUGAAAAUUUCAAGAAAUUCUUAUAACGAUAGUAUUACUAACUAAUACUUGAACACUUAAACAUAAAAUUACUUAUUUCAAGACUAGUGUACAAGUCUCCAAUUUUCCAACCUUAUUGUAUUCUCGAAUCGAUUAUUGACGCCAAACGCGUAUUCACUAUUCUCACUUAACGAGCUUUCAAAAAUCAAAUUUUAAAACGAGUCAUUUUAAAAAUAUAAGUAAGUCAUAGUUUCAUGUAAUUAGGUCUAAAAAUAUUGAAAUAAAAUAUUCGGAGUAAACGGCCAAAUAAAUAUUUAAAUGAGCUCGUAAUAGGAAUUUAAAAUAAGAAAAUUUGCGAGUGCUCACAAAACUUACCUAGCCAAAAACAUUUUAUUGGUCUAGGGGAUUGCAAUUUUGUUAGAAGACUCCUUACCAAUUCUAUAUUAUUAGUGAGGAUGCACUAUUUUCCUCACCAAAUACCUUGACUAUUCGCAACGAACUACUAGUUUUUGUGGGAGUUUCUGAAUUUAGUGGAAAUGAAAGUUUUCCUCGCCAUGGUAUUUGAGCCAUUAGUGAGAAGGUCCAUCCUUGUUAUUGAUCUGUUCCAUUGGCGAGAAAGGCACCAGCAUCCUCACUAAUGUCUUUUAGUGAUGAGCAUCUAGCGAGAAACUUGGUAAAGAAGCAUGUUCCUCACUAAAACUAAUUGGGGAGGAAGUCAAAGCUUUUGGCAUGGACUUUUGUUUCUUGCCAACCCCUUUUUUGUUGUAUUACAUUUGUCACAUAAGGUCUAACUCUCCAUUUUGCUCCUUAGCUUUCGUUCAAAGCUAGCUACAAGUACAAGAGUAGUUGAACUAAACUAUACUACCCUAUCUAUUCCUAAACUAAUUACUAGGAGCUUGUAGCUUAAGAGUUUCAUUUUUGGUGUUUCUCUUCUUUCCAAACUCUCAAACUUAUGCUCAAAUGAAGGACACAAUCCCCUAUUUAUGGAGAAAUCUUCAAGUCUCUUUGUGUUUUCUCUAAUGUGAACUCUUAACAAAAGUUGGCUUCUAAAGUAAAAUUUUGUGGUUCCAUAGAAUCUUGAUGAUUUGAGAGGAUAGAAGAUGUUAAAGUUUCUUGAGCAUGAUCUUUCAGCCACCAAACGUCUAAUCAAAUCUUCCAUCCAAAGCAAGAAAGUGUAUGCAUCAACAAAGUAAAGUUGCACAACUUGUGCAAGUUGCAUAUUGCUUUUCGGCUAAGAGAAUCCCUAGCUCAAAAUCAGUUCUUGCAAGAGCCGGCUUUGUGAACUGAUUUUUCUUUGAGAAGAAUUUUAAUUUCCUUAGAAACUGGUGUGUCGAGAAUUGCCAGCUCCAACCGGCUCUUGUCAAGAAUCGGUUUCUUCCACUGUUUCACAACCCUUCUGAUCAUCACAAAUUAGCCCUAAUAAUCAACAUUGGAUUUGAAUCAACUUUCCUACAAAACACAAAAGUUGUAGUCCUUUAAGUUAUUUUUCCAAUGGUGUAGGAAUUAGGUCAUUUGGAGGUUUGGAUGUUGAGACAUGUUCAAAAUACUAAGAACUACUUAGACAAGUAUUGUUACUAAAAUAUGCUUCAGUAAUUCAGAUAAUUGGCUAUGAAAAUGUGAGAACUGGACUUUUAUGUUAUUAAAUUAUAGAGCAUUGCCUUAUAUUCAAAAUGAAUUAAGAAUUAUCUCAAUUCGAUCUCUGUUACUCAAGUUAUAGCCAAAGUAUGUAAAUAUGUGACAUCCUCCAUUCCUUUUGCUCUUUGAUUCUUCACGCGCACUUCAUUUCUUGCUUUUUGUACUCCAUGCCAACUUCAAAUACAUUUCAAAUCAUCAAGUUUCACUUGAAUACUUCUUACUUAACUCCAAUUGAUGAUUGAAACGUUAAAAGCUUCAAAAACAUGACGUUUUCACCAUUUAAUACCAUACAAAUGCAACUUUCUCAUUUAUACCACAAAAUGCAACUUUUGACUAUAAAAUUAAUUAUUUAAAUCCAAAUUACAUAAAAACACACUAAAAAAACAUAUAAAUGACUACACAAAAAGUACAUAAAAUAAAUACUUAUCAAUUAUAUACUUCCUCCGUUCCAUUUAUUUAGUCAUGUUUGGAGAAUCCAACAUUUUAAGAAUAGUGAUUUGAUUUGUGAUGUUUGUACUUUCUUUCUGAUUUUACCCUCAUAAAUUCAAAAUUUAAAUUUGAAUGGUAACAUGUAUAUGAUUAGAAAGAAGGGCUAUAUUUGCAAGAGAGACUUAAAGAUGCUUGACUUUUCUAACAAAACAAUUGUUUUGGAACAUUUCAAAAUAGAAAGUAUGACACUUUUAAUGGGUAGUCCCACAUGUAUCUUACUUUUAAUCACCAGUCUUAAUACCAUAACUCUCAACCUUCCAACUCCCCCUCGUAGUUAUUCCUAGGUGAAGCUCAAUUUGGAUUAAAGCAAAUUAAGCUCACUCUAGACUUUUUGUUUGGUGGAUUGAUAGAAACUUGGAUUAAAGUUGAAAAUAUUUACCUAAAACCUCAUAUAAGAAUUUGAAAGACCAAAGGAUAUGUAAACUUAAAGAAAAAAGGAAAACCCAACCAUCUCUGUCAACCAAAUUUCCACUAAUGAGAAUGAAGAGUCAGGCAAAAACAAUUGUUUUUGAUAAUUAAUUCCCUUCAUUAAUUAAUAAUGUUCAAAAGAAUGUAAACCAUUUUUUUUUAUUUUCAAAGAAUGUACAUGUAUUAAAGUUGAGAAACAAUAAAGCAUGUCAUAUGUUGAACAAAUUCACCAAACGACUAACCAUUCCAACUCACAUAGCAAGAAAAAUAACAAUGUUAUAUACUAUAUUAUGCAAAACAAAAAAAAAAAAUUACUUGGCAAGGCAGUUUUGGUCACCCAAGUUCAAAUUAAAAAUAAAAAUCUAUAACCCCAUUCUAAUUACAUUGUUCAAAUCUUUUUCAUUUAGUAAAAUAAAAUAUUAAUUAAUGUCAUAAAUAUUAAUAUUGUACCAAUCAUUAAGAAAAUCAAUACUAAUGGCAAAGCCUUUUGUAUUUUGGUCAUUUUAUUUUUCAAUUAUUCAUCAAAAUCUUUAACAUGAAUUGUACAUACCAAGUCAUUUAUUCUAAAGCCCUUCCAGAAGUUGAUUUACGAUUCGAGCCUUUAUUUUACUAUUAUUUAUCAAUAUUUUUUACAGCUCCAUCUUUGACUUGUGCAUCUAUUUUUCCUACUUAACAAUGUUGUAUGGUGUAUAAUAACUUAAACAUUUAUGUUUUAAUAAGUGUAACGACAUUAUGAAUAUAAAUAAAUUUGGCAAGCAUAAUGGUGUUAAUAUUUGUGUCACAAUUUAAGCUAUAAAUCAACCUUACCAUUUACGAAAGAUUGAAAAAUCUUAGAUCUAUGACUUUAAAAUAAUGUAUUCUAAAAAUAAUUGCAUAAAGCAAAAGAAAUAAUACAGAUAUUGUAUCAUGAUACAUGACAAUAUGUUUUGACAAAAAAAAUAAUUGAUAUAUAAUAAUCAUGCGCAAAUCACAUGAAGUGUUACUUGUACAACAAAGUUGGUAUAAAAUUUACAAUUACACGAAAACUAUACAAGUUAUAUCAAGUAUAUUAAGAAUUACAUGAUCCGUAUGAACCGGACAGAAUUCAACUUGUGAGAUUUGGAUCCAUGGUGAUUUAGCUUGCUAGUAAAGCAAUAUGUCCGCAGGAGUCGAAAGCUAUGUCUCUUUUACUGUUAUUCUGCAGAAAGGCUUAGGUAGCAAGCUUAUAAUCUUCCUCUAUCAGCUCCUUCACCAAUGGUUGCUUGAGUAAACUGCGGUCCAGCUUAGGACAUGAGUGCAAUGUUACAGAUUCAAGUUGGCAGUCUCUCGAUGGGAGAGGAUCCUCCAAACUUCUUUCCCCUUCAUAUAGAAGCCUAAACAGUUGAGGCAGAUAGUAAAGCUUUAUUUUUCUCAAACGCGGAAGGGCAGAGAAAUCAUCAUUACCCAUCUCAUCACUCCUU